rnacentral:lncRNA from 1 species
UUUUUUUUUUUUUUUUUAUAAAUUUUUUUAGUGGAUUGCAAGUCCCAAACACAUGAUGUCACUAUUGAACUUUUAUUUAAUUUUUGGGAAAAUAAUUAUUAAAUUUUUGGAUUGGGUUUCUUCUGACCACGUUUCUUCACAACCCAACACAAACAUAGACUUUUCUUUUUGCCAAAGAAAAAGAGGAUAAUCUUGUAACCAAAAAAAAAAAGGAGAGAGGAUAAUUUAGUCAAAUUGGCCACCAAGAAAGCGACUAGCUUGGACGAAACGCAAAGUAUUACGUGGAUAAAAAAACCCCAAAAAUCCUAGAUCCAACGGUUCCAAAAUCCAGAUCCGACGGCCAAGAAAAUUAAACCCGGACCCGAAAAUCGAAAAUACUCGCCGAAAAGAAAGGUGGAAAUCGAAAAUAGGGUUUAUCGGCGCCCCUAUAUAAAACCACAUAUCGCUCUCUCUCUCUUCUUCUAUCACCUACUCUCUCUCAGACUCUCUCUCCGAUUUCCGGCUUCGUUUUCCGAUCAGCGAAAUGGCCAAUGGUCCAGGUCUUUACACCGAGAUCGGCAAGAAAGCCAGAGGUUCGUCUCUGUAAUCAUAUCGCACAUUUCUGGAGAUGAAAUUUUUUGUUUGGAUUUGUGAGGGCUUUGGUUGCUGAAUCUGUGCUUUUUAAUUUGCUGUUGAAUUUUGUAGAUCUCUUGUAUAAGGAUUACCAGAGCGACCACAAGUUCACCAUCACCACCUACAGUCCCACUGGUGUGGUGAGUUCUUCCGUCUCUUUUUGCGCUGCGAUCUGUGUAGAAAGCUAGGGCUUUAUAUUCGCUCGUAUUCGUAGCCUGUGUGAUUUGUUAUCAUAUUUCAGCCUUGGAUUGCUUUUAUUGUCUAUUUGUUUAGUGAAAUUGGAGCACGGAGUGUAAUUUUGUAAUUCUGUGCCGAAAUUGUACUGGUUUGUUCUUGAAUUGAGGGCCAUUGGACUGGUUUUACUCGAUUUUGUUGAAUUUACGAGAUAUCGUAAGUGUUCCUAGAUUUUAUGGAUGAUUUGCCUAGUUGGACUAAUUUUCUGUGCCGAAACUGUACUAGUUUUUUUUAAUUAAAGGCCAUUGGACUGUUUUUACUAGAUUUUACGAGGUAUCAUAAGUAUUUGUAGCUGAAAUACUAGGAUGCGGUAGCUUAUUUUACAAUUGUUCGAUGUGAGGUGCUAUUGAACAUAGUAGCCCUGAGCUAACCACUUACUCUUACUGCAUCGUAUUUGCAGGCUAUCACUUCUUCAGGAACAAAAAAGGGUGAUGUGUUUCUGGCUGAUGUUACUACUCAGUUGAAGAAACAAAAUGUCACUACUGAUAUCAAAGUUGACACUGAAUCCAACGUAAGCGUCACAUCCUUUGUUCUGCUUUUCUAGUUCAUUCUUUUUUCUAUUGAAUGUAUUCUGAUGCAGAGAACAGCUUCUUGUGCUGUAUAACACUUUGUUAUGCUCUUUUUGUUUGUGAUUUAAGUCUUAUUCAUCUUAUAAGCUGUAUCUGUAUGUUGAGUGAUGGAAGCAUGUAUAAACUGAACUGUGAAUUUCUGGCAAAUGGAAGCUUACUAGUGGUUUGUGUUCAUGACAGCUUCUGACCACUAUUACAGUUGAUCAACCUUGUCCUGGUGUUAAGGCAAUUCUCAGCUUCAAAGUUCCUGAUCAGAACUCAGGCAAGGUAAGAAUGUUAUUUUGGGUUUUUCAUUAUGCAGUAAAACUUCGAUGUUGAUAUGCUUCCUGUUUCAUUUGAGACAUUAUCAGGAUAACUUUAGAUUUACCCUCUAAAUGAUUGAUUGUUGACAGGCCGAACUCCAGUACUUGCAUGACUAUGCCGGGAUAAGCACCAGUGUUGGAUUGACAGCCAACCCUGUUGUCAACUUCUCUGGUGUUCUCGGAACUAACCUUCUUGCCCUUGGUACUGAUGUGUCAUUUGAUACCAAAUCUGGGAAUUUCACCAAAUGCAAUGCUGGUUUGAACUUUUCCAAUGCCGAUCUCAUGGCGUCAUUGAACCUGUAAGUAUUCUCUUCUAUUUGUGAGUAUUAUUUGAUAUUACGUAGUCUAGCAUUCUUCCCUUAAACUAAAGAUGAUUGAAAUUAUUCUCUAUACUGAAAUUCCUCUUGUCCAUGCUUACAUUUUGUGUCAUUGUAUUUCUGAUUCACUGUGUUGACGAUGAUCUUCUUGAUACAGGAAUGAGAAAGGUGAUGUGGUCAGCGGAUCUUUCUAUCACAGUCUCUAUCCAGAACAAAACACUGCUGUAGGAGCUGAGGUCACCCACAGAUUUUCCAACAGUGAGAAUACGAUCACUCUCGGUGCUCAGCAUGCCCUGGAUCCAUUGACCUCUGUCAAGGCACGUGUGAACAACAUUGGCAAGGCCAAUGCUCUUAUCCAGCAUGAGUGGCGCCCAAAAUCAUUUUUCACCAUUUCUGGAGAGGUAGACACCAGAGCCAUUGAGAAGAGCGCCAAGAUUGGAUUGGCUCUUGCUCUCAAGCCAUGAGGAGGAGUUAAUCCCUGACCAAGGGAGGGAGACAUUGAGAUAGUACUAAUGUAGGUUGUCUCUCCUCUUUUGUGUGCUCGAACAAGUCCACAUGUUAGGCUGUACUCUUUUUUGGUUGUAACAAUAAAGAUUUAAUGUUGGUUUCGUACUUUUUUCUUCAUCGUUGUUAACAGAGCUUGGUCAAGCAGUCGGAAAUUAGACUUGUCGCCAAUGUGUUGUGGUUUUUCUCCCUCCCACAAUGAUAACUGUGAUGUUUAGUUUCAUAUUAUAAAUCUCAAUCAGUGUCAUUGUUUACCAAUUCUUAAAAGAGGGACAAGUUCUCUACUCCAUACUCGUUAUGAGAAAGUGUUAUUUGCCUGGUGAGCUGAUUCUCUGAGAGUUAUGGCAGAAGCUUGGAGCCUUGGACUGGUACCUCAUUGAAGGCUAAAAGCUUUUGUUUACCUUUUCAUGCAUGACCUAUUAUGUUGGUUCUGAGUUUAAAUACUAUAGAAACCCAGUAAUGUUAUUCGCAUUUAGUCGGGAACAGUUCGAAUAAUCCUAGAGCGUAUACCUAGUUCUUCUUUUAAUCUUUUGUAUUAGUAAUAUUUGUCUCAAACUCUUAACAACAAACGGAAGUCAAAAUAAUGUACGUUUAUUUGCGCUGCCCCUGCCCCUGUAAUCUGUAAUUUCUGUUUCUGGGUUGAUCAUCUACAUUCCAGCUAGCAGGGUUUGAUGAUCUUGCAUGUAAUCAGUCAUUAAUUUUCUUAAUUGAGAUAACAAUUCAUUCAGAUAUGUUUUGGAUUCUGCCUUCAAUCUUGAUGUAAAAUCAACAGGAGAGAUAAAAGUUAAUAAGAAAUUACCACCAAACAAUUACAAUGGGGGCGAGGUUGGUAGCCGAUCAAUGUUUAGUUUACCAAUCUCAUUUUGAACACUCUACCAUCGAAUACAGAGGCUUGAAUCUGCUCGUUGGCCUUUGUCGGUUUAUCUCCUUGUUUAACGUUAGUUUUCUUUACAUAUUAUAUAUGAAGUCCAGAUUUUAAGAGGAAUCCCAUCCCACACAAAUUUCAAACAUCUUAACCCUUUCAAAUUACACAUGACAUAUAUAUGUUUCGAGACGAAAAAAGUAGGAAGUUCAUGUUGCAUUUGUUUUAUUAUGAAACUUUUGUGCUAUUUGUUUCUUCUUAUAGCUUAUAGAUCAUGGGAAAAGUUGUUGUGAAGUUGGAACAGGUAAUGAUUUGAGCAAGUAAAAACUUAAGCUAUAAUGAGGUAUCGAGAUCAUUGACAGCUUGACAGCUCAUGGUGUUUAAGCGCAAAUUAUGACAAACUUUUAUGUUGCGUUUAAGUUUGACAUGAAACCUUAAAAUAUUUUAGAGUUUAAAUAAGUUAAUAAUUUUAGAGUUGUUAAAAAUAAAAUUUUGAAUAAUGACCAUUUAUCGUAAGCUGAAUCAAAUUUUCAUGGUUUCAUUAAGGACCAAAAAUUUCAGAGUUAGUGAGAAUCAGAUUUAUAAUCGUUUUCAACAACUUUCAUGUGAAUGACAUGAGCUUUUCAUUUUUGAAACUUUGCAAGUACACCAUAGUUUUGGAUACACAUUAGAAGAUAGAACCCGUAAACCUCCCUGACCCGACCCGGAAAAUAAAAAAACGAACAUAAACCCUUGCCUACUCUUUUCAGUUGAAAACCCAGAGAGCUCCGGCGAAUCCCAAACCCCAAUAGGAGGAGAUGGCCGGCACCGGAAUACGGCAGGUCAAACUGGAGCGAGAGUGCGAACUCAGAAUCGAAGUCGGCAACGACGCACCUCUCAAGCUCCGCGUUCUCAACGGCACCGCCGAGAUCUUCGGCACCGAGCUCCCCCCUGAAAUCUGGCUCACUUUUCUUCCCAGGCUCAAAUUCGCUGUAAGCCUUCUUCGUUCUUUUCACUUCAAUUGAACGAAUCAAAGCUUUUUUUUCUUUACUCAAAGUCUGUGAAUUGAACUGUGUUUUAUGGAAUUGAAAUUUUCGGUUUAAGGUGUUCACUUGGUAUGGCGCCACAAUCGAGAUGGACGGCCCCACCGAAACGGAUUACACCGCUGACGAGGUAGUUAUAGCUUCUUUACUUUAGCUGUCAUGGAUUUUGGUUGUCAUGGAUUUUGAAUAAUGGAAGUCAAUGUUUUGCAGACGCCGAAUAUCAGCUAUGUGAAUGUGCAUGCCGUGUUGGAUGCGCGGCGGAACCGUGCGAAAACGCUGUCGUCUGAUGAUCCUGAUUCUCCUCACGCUCAGGUAAACUCAGGUUCAUUACAUUUUGGAUGAAUUGGUGUAAUGUAUUUGCUGUAUGAUUUAACUGCUUUAUAUAGGGCUAAUAGGUUUGUUAUUACGAUGGUCAGGGACCGAGGGUGAUGGUUGUGGGACCUACGGAUUCCGGGAAGAGUACGUUGGCGAAAAUGCUGCUGAGUUGGGCAGCUAAGCAAGGAUGGAAACCUACUUUUGUUGAUUUGGAUAUCGGACAAGGAGCUAUAACAAUUCCCGGAUGCAUUGCGGCUACUCCUAUUGAAAUGCCUAUUGAUCCCGUGGAAGGGAUUCCCCUUGACAUGCCCCUUGUGUAUUUCUAUGGGCACACUACUCCCACGUAUGUAUCCGAUUUAGUAUUUUCUGUCAGUAUUAGGAUUUGUCAAGGUAGAAUAGUUUUAUAGACGGUCGAAUUUUAUGGUAGCUAUACAUCAGUUAUCAGUGAUAUGCUGCGUUGCUAUUCGUCAUUCCAGCUUCUGAGUGUCGUUUUUUUUUUUUUUAGGACCAAUGUGGAUUUGUACAGAGUGCUUGUCAAGGAGCUUUCUCAAAUGGUAGAGAAACAACUUGCUGGUACUGCUGAAUCUCAAGCUGCUGGACUGGUAAUCAACACCAUGGGAUGGAUUGAGGGUGCUGGCUAUGAGGUACUUUAAGAGUUCUUGGACCAAAAGGGGCGACUGUUGAUUAAUUGAAAAAUGACUGUGAUUUUAAUAUAUUUGAAGAUUGCUCUGAUAGUUUCUUCUUCUUUAUCUUUCUUGCAGUUGCUUCUUCAUGCAAUUGACACAUUCAAUGCCAAUGUUGUCUUGGUUUUGGGUCAGGUAAAUCCUUUUAGUCCGAGACUCCGAGUUCUUUUCUUGUCAUGCUCAAGUCUUCGUGAAUUCUGCUACUUUCUUUUAAUCUGUCAGGAAACAUCCUUUUCUGUUCUUUAUGCUUUUUGGGUUAAGAUUGUCAGCAAGUCUGUUAGCGUUUAAUGAUAUACUUUUCUAAAACAUUGUAGUUCUUACUAGUGUUAUAGUGCCCUAAGUUUAUGUUUCCCUGACAAUGCAGUAUUUCUUUUAUGCAGGAAAAGCUUUGCAGCAUGCUCAGAGAUGUACUAAAGAACAAGCCCAAUGUGGAUGUUGUUAAACUUCAAAAAUCAGGGGGAGUUGUAUCCAGGAAUUUAAAAUUCCGUCAAAAAUCCAGGAGUAAUAGGAUAAGGGUAAGUAUAUGUUGGAAAAACAAAACAAAACAAUCCAACAGUAUCAUCUUCUAUGGUACCAAAUUGAAAAAAGUCCUUAAAAAUGUGCACCUGGUUUAUUCUCAUGCUAUUGCUCUUCCUGUCAUAAGGCUCUUAUACACUGAUAUUUCUGACAGGAAUACUUUUAUGGCCUUGCGAAUGAUCUCAGCCCACAUUCUAAUACUGCAAAUUUCAGCGAUUUAUCUGUCUUUCGAAUCGGUGGUGGCCCACAGGCCCCUCGUUCAGCUUUGCCAAUUGGUGCCGAGCCUGCUGCUGAUCCUACAAGAGUGGUUCCUGUAAAUAUUAACCGUGAUUUGCUCCAUAUGGUUCUCGCUAUUUCAUAUGCCAAGGAGCCUGAUGAAAUUAUCUCUAGGUAAUCUCAUAGCCAUCAGCUAUUUCAUAUGCCUACUUUCCCUCUUACAAGAGUUAUAAUUGUCUAGCACUUCUCCCCUAGCUUUUCCAUCUAUAAAGAUUUGAAAUUUGACUUUGAUACUUUAAAUUAAAAUCUGUUGAUGUCAGAGAUUACAAUAUAUACCCGUGUUGCUUAACAAUGAAUUUUGUGUGCAGUAAUGUUGCUGGGUUUGUCCAUGUCACAGAAGUCAAUGUUGAAAGGUUUGAUUUCUGACCUACAGUGACUUGUUCAAAUUACCUUUCAAAUUCUGGUUUUUCUAUUCUGACCAAGUAUAUUGCAUUUCAGGAAGACAAUUACCUACCUUGCACCAGCCGCUGGUGAACUUCCAGGCAAAUUUUUGAUACUAGGGUCCUUGACAUGGCUUGAAACAUGAGCAUUUCAAGAAGAUUUCACGACUGAAAACACAAAGACUGCGUUCAGGCUGAUUGCUAUGGCUUCUGGUGAAUAUACAUUGCAUGUUUUAUGGAUGAGGAAUUCAGUGAUAGAGGUAAGGAAAGGUGUAACCCAGCAACGAUGCUUCAGGCAUCUUUAACCGACUAUAGUACUGUUGGAUUAGUCGUGGAUUAAGUAUCACCUGUAGCUUGACAUAGUUAUGUAAGGAGUGUAUGAAGAGGUGAACUACCCGAUAGUAAAAUGAUUCUGUAAUUCCAUGUUAUAGCUAUAGCUACUCUUUCGCGUUCAUAAGGUUUCAAUGUGGUUAACCUGCUAGCCCGCUAGCCUCUUCGCGUUGGUAGUGUUUCCAUUUUUACUGUGAAUCUAUUGCACUGUGUUCUGUUCGUUUUAAUACUUUGAGAUUUUGAGGAAGACGAUGUGAUUUGAGGGGGCCACCGGGAAAUUCCAUGGCCGGGUAACUGCAAACCACUAGUAAUCAUUGACAAUGAUUAGGUCCCACAGACCCACAAUAACUAGGGCUCCUGAUACUUACCAAAGAUAGUAAAUGUAAUAUGACUAAUAUCCAAGAACAAAAGAUGGUUAUUUUGUUUUUUCUUGGAAGAGGCUCUUGUGUAAUGUCUUAAAUUUCGAUGAUUAUGAAAAUAUCGACAUUCUGAAAAAUGGAUAUUUCGACGGAAAUUUCGAGAAAAUAUCGAUAGUUGUAAAAAAUUGAGAAAAUUGAUGGAAAUUUUAAAUGAAACUUUGAGAGAAGUUUGUUUUCUCAAUUAUCUACUAUAUUUGAAAAGAAAACUUUGAAUAAACAUUGAUUUAUAAUGAGUUGUAGUAAUUUCAGGUGAAAAAUUAUGUGCUGAACUAUUGAUAAUUCUGAAAAGAAAGUAUUUACCCAAUUUUUUAGAUUUCGUAAAGAAAACAAUAUAUAUUGUGGAUGCUAAGUUGAACAAGUAUGAUGCUUAGCAGGUUUGGUUAAGGCAAUGAACUUGUAUUAACCCAAAUAGGGUUCUAGACAUGUUUGGACGCAAGUUUUAAUUUUAGUUAGGUUGAGAGCUUUAAACAAUGUUAUAUGCUUUAACCUCACCCUAAUUAAUUCGACCUUUAACCUCACCCUAAUUAAUUAUCAGUUAGAAGGGUAAACAUAUCUAAAAAUUAAGUUAAAAUGCACAAAAUGAGAGUAGAGUAUGCAAUAUCGUUAUCAUCCCAAAUGAGCUCGAACAAUAUAAUUAAACAUACAUACAUUAUCAUUUGUGAAUUAUCUUUUUUUGGGUAAUAAAAUGAAUUAUCAUUUGUGAUUCAUUUGUGAAUUAUCGUUAUGAGGUCGUCCAACUUAACAUCAAUUGAUCAUAAAUAAACCAAUAGAUGACACUGCACAAUGGUACUGACGUAAGGUUCAGAAUCUCCAAUACGAUAAGAGUUGCCAUCACUAAUUCUUAUACUCAGAUAUUUUAGUCGUUUUAAAACCGAUUGGAUAGAGAUUUGAUUUUGAGACACAUCCAUUGAACAACAAUGAACUACUUUCUCAAUAGUAUAAUACUAUACUAGCCUACUUGCUUAUCCUAAAAACCCACACUUCAUCCAUAAAUUUAAAUAAGAAGAACAAGACAAAGCAAGAAAUUCUAGGCUAACAUGACUCUACUUUGCAUUAUUGCCCCAAAUGUGCUCUCUUUCUAUGUUCAUUCCAGAAAUGAAAAAGCAGUUUGAGUUAACCAAAUUUUCAAGUCCAAUACUUUACGGGUGACUUGAUGUUCGGAAUAUGCCAAAGUUAUUGUUUCUGGAGCACUGUGUAAGAAGAAAGAAGAAAGCUUUUUGUUUUUUCCAUUCUUGUUUCUCUCUCCUGCCCGGCCUGCCCGCCUCCCCUGUUUUCAAGCCGCCCAGCCUGCCCCAACAGUGAAACAACUUUCCCUCUUUCUUAAGCACUAUAGUCCUCUCUAUCUCUCUCUUGCUUUUUUGACCAAUCUGGGUCUGAUUCAAAUUCAGCAGCAGCUCACAUUUCUUUGAGCUUUUGGUUGUUUUGGGUUGCAUAGAGGUUGGUUUGUAAUGGGUUCUGUUUGGUAUGUGAAGUUUGUGAAGAUGGGUUUGGUAAAGGUGGGAACUUUUCCAGUUUUGACCAUCUGGGUCUGAUUCAGUUUGAGCUGCAACACAUUUCUGGUGAGGUUUCAGAGUUUAUGUGAAGGUUUUGGCUUUCUGGGUUGCAUAUUGGUUGGUGUGAAAGGUGGGUUCUUUGUGGUGUGUGAAAUUUCUGGGUCUGUGAGCUAUGGGAGUUUGAAUCUGGAAGAGUUGGUGAAGAUGGGUCUGGUAAAGGUGGUGACUUGGAAUGGGAGCAAAUCAAAGGGAAGGAAGAAGAAGAAAGAUGAGGCUUUGGAGGAAACUGGGUGUUGGGUUAAGUUCUCUUUUGGGACUUGCAUGCCUUCUUCGAGAUCCAAAGUUGAUAGCACCAUGACUGGGACUACUAUGUCUUUUGGUAAUUUGCUACAGACCUUGUUUGUCUAAUUUUGGCAAGUUCUUGUCAAGCUGCAUUAAUUUCUAGGAUGGGGGUUAUUCUGUUUUCGAGCAAUAAAUGUUAACAUCAUAGUUUAUGGAGAUGGUUUCAGCUCAAGCAUGUUUGGUGUCUUAAGCAAAGUAUACUACUUCAUCAAAAUAAAAUCAUUUUCACUCCAUAUCUCUAAACUCUGAUUUUAUGUUAGGAAGAGGGGAAGUAUCAGAAUUCAGAAGUUGAAUGUUUUCAUGAUUUAUUUGUCAAACAAUCAAGUUAUGAAGUUCGGGCAUUUACUGCUUUUUGCAUCUGUUGGAGUUGUAAUAGAAAUGGCAGAACUUAGUAUAUUAGUUCUAUUUGAUUUACUAGAUAUCUACUUACAGAUAUAGGUAGUGUCUGGCAUUUAUUAUGAAGUUCCUAACUACUAGGGGACAACAUAUGCCAGCAUCAUUUAUUCAUGUGUAGUUAUAUGGAUCAUUCACUGAAGUGUUUUUGACCUAUGUAAAUCAGCCGAAACUAAAUCUUUGAAUGAGAAAAGUAGAGAUCGAGAGCUUACUCGUGGAGGUUCCUCUACAACUACUAGUAAUGCUGGAAGUACUACAUCCACACCCUAUUUCAGUGAGGAGCUGAAGGUUGCUUCCCAGCUGCGGAAAUUCACGUUUAAUGAACUUAAGUUGGCAACUAGAAACUUCAGACCGGAGAGUCUUCUUGGUGAGGGUGGAUUUGGUUGUGUGUUCAAGGGGUGGAUAGAGGAAAAUGGAACUGCGCCUGUGAAACCUGGUACUGGCCUUACAGUUGCAGUUAAGACCCUCAACCAUGAUGGACUUCAGGGUCACAAAGAAUGGCUUGUAUGGCUUCGUCUCUCCUGUUCUUCUACUAUAUCUUACUUCCCCAAUCAGUGUUUGUAUUAUAAUCUUGAUUUCUUUGUAUUUCAGGCUGAAAUUUAUUUUCUUGGUGAUCUCAUCCAUCCAAAUUUGGUAAAAUUGAUUGGUUACUCCAUUGAAGAUGAUCAGAGGUUGCUGGUUUAUGAGUUUUUACCACGAGGAAGUUUGGAAAACCACCUAUUCAGAAGUAAGAACUGUUCUUUCCACAAUCUCUAAUUUUAGUGCAUGUAUAUUGGAAGUAGCUCUUGUAAUACCAACACAUUGGCCUGCAUUAGUCAAAAAGUAGCUAUUCAGUUUAUGUUGUUACUGUAUCUAUCCUUUAUCUAAUGAUCUAUGGUAACAAUCAUUUUGCAUGGUGAAGGAUCCCUGCCUCUUCCUUGGUCUAUCAGAAUGAAAAUUGCACUUGGAGCCGCAAAGGGCCUUGCCUUUCUUCAUGAAGAAGUUCAAAAACCAGUCAUAUACCGUGAUUUCAAAACAUCUAAUAUCCUAUUAGACGCGGUAAGUUACUAUGGCUGCGGAAAAACUUGCUUUCAUUUCUACAUUCUUAUUGCAUUCUGAAAGUGGAUAUGUCAAUCUAGGAUUACAAUGCCAAGCUCUCUGAUUUUGGACUUGCUAAAGAUGGUCCUGAAGGUGACAAGACUCAUGUGUCUACACGAGUCAUGGGAACAUAUGGUUAUGCAGCCCCAGAAUAUGUCAUGACUGGUGAGUUUGAUUGUAAUCAUAUUUUUGGUUUUAGUAAUUACUUUUACUCCAACAAUGAGAAUUACUGGAUAGUGAUAAACAAACCAAACAAACUGUAUUCCUUUCAAAUGUAAACACCUUCCAUCAAGUUGCGACUUAUCUCUCUGACAACCAACCCUCAGGCUUAGAUAGUUUGAUAAAGUUGCAAGCCCAUCUAAUAUGCAAAAAACAUAGGUUAUUAAAGGAUCAGUACUUGGUGUUCCUCAGGGGACUUUUGCUGUUCAUGAGUAAUCACUUACCAAGGUCAUAUACUUUUGUAGUUUUGUUAUGUUGCUUGAUCAUAAAUUGACAUUACUAGAAUUAUAACAUGGUUUUUGAUUCAGGACAUUUGACAUCAAAGAGUGAUGUCUACAGUUUUGGAGUAGUCCUACUUGAAAUGCUAAAUGGAAGAAGAUCCAUGGAUAAAAAUAGACCAAAUGGGGAACACAAUCUUGUGGAAUGGGCAAGACAACUUUUUGGAGACAAGAGGAGGUUAUUCCAAUUAAUUGACCCCCGUCUAGAAGGCCAUUUUUCUAUCAAGGGUGCGCAAAAAGCUAUCCUACUGGCCGCUAGGUGCCUCAGUCGUGACCCAAAAGCCAGACCAAUGAUGAGUGAAGUUGUUGAAGCCCUAAAGCCUUUACCAAGCCUUAAGGACAUGGCCAUUUCUUCGUAUCACUUUCAAACCAUGCAAGCAGCUCGUACCAGAUCCAACUUGAAUGCUAAGAACGGCAUUAGAACACAAGCGGUCUUUGUACAGAGGAAUGGGCAACCGGUAAGGAGCUUGUCAAGCCCAAAGGGUCCUCCUGCUUCUCCAUAUUAUCCUCAAAAAUCACCAAAACCUAACUCAAAAGAAUGAUAUAUGGCUUUUGUUAUUCUCUAUGCAUAUUAUCUUAGAUUUGACUAUCCAAUUGUGACAGCUUGGCUUCUUCAGAUUGUUUGGUCAAUUAUAGCACAAAAUAAGUCUUUCUUUCUUUUGUUGCUAUGUGCUCGCCAGCAUCUGACUGCCUGUUAAAUGAAGGCACAAGCCUCUUUGCAUGUAUGUAUGCUCAGCUCAUUGCUCAGGCUUAGUAAAUAGCAGUUCAUCACCCUUCCCCCAUUCUGUAAUGGGUGGUAAUUUCUUAUUAACUUUAGUCUCCUGUUGAUUUUACAUCAAGAUUGAAGGCAGCAUCCAAUACAUGUCUGAAUGAAAUUUAAUCUCGAUUAAGUAAACUAAUGACUGAUGUCGAUCAUGUUCAUUGAUAGUUACAUGAUCAUCAGACCCUGGUGGAAUGUAGAUGAUCAGCCUAAAAACACAAAAUACAGAGAGGUAGGGGCGGUACAAAUAAAGUACAUUAUUUUGACCAAAACAAUUCUCUUCCCUUUGUUGUUAAGAGUUUGAGACACUAACAUAGUACUAAUACAAAAACUUAAAAGAAGAGCUAACUAGCAAGGAAUUGGAGUGAACCAAGUACUCUGAUUCAUCAUAAAUAAACGCCAAUGAACCUCGGGUAGAGACAUAGGCUUAAAGCUCCUAUCUGUCAAGGAAAACACACCGGAGGUGUAUCUAUUUCCCUGUCCAUGCGACAAAACAAAAUAGAUACAAUUUUUUUCGAGUGUUUUAUCAUGACAAGUGAUAAAAAUGUUGUUGAGUGUGCCGAUAAACAAUGCUCGAUCACCAAGGUCAGCAAUCUCUACCCACUGAUGACGGGUGGUAACAUUAUUAUACUCUAACUUCAACACUUGAAACAAUCCUUCGAAUCCGUUGCUUUGAUUUUGAUACAAAACCAUAAACAGGUCCUUUGAUUCACAACAUUUUGCCAAGUAAAAUGUCUGGUAGAGGGUUUCGUCAUCAACAUAUAUGUUUUUAAUGUUGGGGUGAAGAGUAACCAACCUUUGAGAUGUGUAGGUAUGGGUGUCUAAAUGGAUGUCAAACACCAUCACAAACUCUAAUGCAUGGCUUCCUACCGCGUAUAGUUUCCCAUCAAGUAUUUCUAUAUCCCAAAAUUUUUGACCUUUCUCAAUCACGGUCCAUGUUUUAUCAGAGGGGGUGCAGAAGGCCAAACAACAUCCUUGUUUAAAGUGAAGGCAACUCACAUAACACUUUGUUGUUGUCGACGUUGGUACCGAAGAGGCUACCACUUUUCCUGGCGGCAAGAUCGACAUGCGGCGGGAUGGGAGCUUAACUCGAGCACCUGAUACUGGAUUCCAGAAGAAGAAUUUGACAAAUGUUCUCUCAAGUGUUAUGAUGAGCCAUCCCUCGAUUGAUCCAGCACAAUAACAGUAUGGAGCGUCAGGAUUCCAAAUAUUCGGAUUGCAUACAAUACGCAAGUCGUCGUCGUCAUCAUCUGUUUUGAUGUAGGAUGCCUGCAUGCAUCUUCCUAAAGUAGAGCUGGUCACAAGCCUUGGGAGUCGAUGAUGAGCGGCAGGAAGCCAACGCUUGCUGUCAAUUGCGGCUCGCCAACAACGACUUACGUCACGACAAUUCAGAUAAUCUAAUAGGGGCAGUCUCUGCAGAAUCAGUUGCAUGACCUCAUCUGGGAGUUCCUGCAUGAAGCACCUGCCCUCAUUGAGUUCUUCUUCCGACUUGUAUCGUUUUCUAGUGAAGAAUGUAUCAGACUUGCGGCGUAUCAAAUCACGACACCAUAUCAACUUUCUUGAAAGGCUCCAUCUGCUCAACAUCUUCAUCAUCACAGCACGCAAGUACAAUCAAGAACAAACAUUUAUAUAUAUAUAUAUAUAUAUAUAUAUAUAUAUAUAUAUAUGAUGAUAUAUAUGUGUAAUUUCAUAGGGUUAAGAUGUUUGAUAGCUCGUGGGAAUGGGACUCCUCUUGAAAUUUGGACUCCAUAUAUGUAAUAAAGACGAUUUCUUCCGACUUACAACGGAAAUCUGAAAGGCUCCCCAUUACAUCAAGUUGUGUAUCACAAAAUUACUACUUCUUACCUACUCAAAACAACCUUUUCAUGUCCAGUUGAUUUCUUUUAUGAUGGAGAUGCUUACAACGUCGUCGUUUUGGUUUGGGCUGGACAAUCUAGUUGUUUAUCCAUGAUGGGCCCCCGAACCCGAUUCUAAAAGCUGUGAACAAGUUCAAUGAUAUGUAAAGCUCUCUGCCACGUUCAAUUGAAGAUUGAAGAGAAAGGUGUUCUCUUUUGUUGUUUGAUCUUGAUUUGUAGUGUAUCUAUUGCAUUGCCUGUAAAAAUGGUUGGUUUAGUUACAGUCAAUUGUUGAUACUUUUAUAUGGUGUUGAUUUUGAUCAUACAUGCAUGCAUUUUCUGAUUUGGCUGUGUUUCUUUUUCUGUUCAAGAAUCUAUUAUGGUUUACUUAGAUUCAAGAAUUUUUUUUAAUAGGGUUUCGAACCCAGCCACGUCCGGAUUUUAUUUGAUUUAAAUAACAAGAAAAAUUACAUAGUUCGAAUAUAAAAAAAUACAAUACGGAAACUAAGAAAAGAAAAUCUGCAUGGGUUUCUUUCUGGCAAGGUAUUUAGUUCAAUAUGGUACAUGAAUUUUUGUUCUUUAAUCUUUAUCAUUGUUAAGUAUGUGCUCACGUACUGCAAGUUGGCGCGAUCACAAAAAGCAUCAUAACCCCCUAUGCCGCUGUCCUGCUAGCACUUCUUAGUGGGCAUCUGGGCAGCAGAAAACCUAAAUUUCAUUCUGCAUUCAGGGGAUUAUUAAUUCAUAAUCGCUGUAUCGUGGUCUCGAAAUAUGAGGAUUAUAGUACUCUGUAUAUGAGAAAUGCUGGAUUAUUUGUUGUGCAAGAUAUUUCUUUAUACUUCGUUUAGCAUCCAAUAUCACAUAUCAUUUCUAGUGGUUUGAUACCUCAAAUAGCUAGUUUCCUGGUAAAUGAAAGAAGGAUUAGAACAAUGCAAUCCCGGUAAAUAGAUUCAACUUGCUGCGGCGGAAAAAAUGUAAUGCUAUCACAAGUUCACAACACAAGAACAAAAGCAUACUUCCCUAAGUUUAAUACAAAAUGAGAUUAAUACAACUCUAAUCUAUGCGAUCACCCAAGACAAAACCACCAACAAAGUAGUACUAUUUUACCGGUCAGUUACAGAUCAAGAAAACAUUACUCUACUUUUACGUACAUCAAAAUUGUUAAUAGCAUGCAUGGGAAUGUUCAAGGUAUCAAGGCUGUAUACAACGUAUGAGGAGCAGUGCUACCUAGCACCAGCUUGAUCGAUCAAACAAUUCAUAGCAUUGUUGUUACCAAAUCAUUGGCAAAUUUUGGUCAACAACUCAACAUUCUUUUGGUGUGCUGAGGAUAUAUACGAGAUGUGCCUCCCCCCUUAUUUUGUUAUGUGAAUUUUAUUUUCUACUCAAGUUCCUUUUUGUUAGUCUUUCUUGAUGGAGUUGUUGGUUUUAGUCUCCUUCCUAAUGUUUUUUUCUUUUUUUUAAAAUUAAUAAUAGAGUGAUAAGCGAGGCAGCUUGCGAUCAUUAGGUACUCGGCUUCAUUCAAAAAAAAAAAAACACAACGAUAAAGAGAUAUGCAAAGAGAAAAAAAACGACUGCAGGACUAUCAAAAAAUCAUAGCAACCUUUCUAGUAAUACUAAUACAAAAAUUAAAAGAAGAACUAGCUAAUUCCUAUAUAAAAGCUAUCUAGCAAGGAUUUGGUGUGAACCAAGCACUGUGAUGCUUUGCCCAAUAAUGGCGAUGAUGCUCGGGAAGAAUUAUAGGUUUGAAGCUCUUAUCUGUCAAGGAAAACACCCCAGAGGUGUAUCCAUCAUUAAACCCUGGCGAAAAGACAAAGUAGAUACAGUUUCUUUCAGGUGUUUUAUCAUGACAAGUGAUAAAUUUGUUGUUGAGCGUGCCUAUAAACAAUGCUCGAUCACCAAGGUCAGCAAUCUCUACCCACUGAGGAUUGGUAGUAACAUUAUGCUCUAACUUCAACACUCGAACUAAUUCUUCAUUGUAGUGAUAUCGGCGAUUAUGAUACAAAAUCAUAAACAAGUCCUUUGAUAUAGAACAUUUUGCCAAGUAACAUUUCCGAAAGACUAAUAAGCUAUCAAAUAUGCUCUUAACAUUGGGGUGAAGAGUAACCAACCUUUGUGAUGUGUAGGUAUGAAGUCUGCCAUCAUGGGUAUCUAGAUGGAUGUCAAACACCAUCACAAACUCUAAUGCAGGGAUUCCUACCGCGUAGAGUUUCCCAUCAAGUAUUUCUAUAUCCCGAAAUUCGAGAUUUUUCUGGGUCUCAAUCAAGGUCCAUGAUUUAUCAGUGGGCGUGCAGAAGGCCAAACGACCUUGUUGUCUGAAGUGAAGGCAAGUCGCGUAACACUUUGUUGACGUUGGUAUUGAAGAGGCUACUACUUUUCCUAGUGAGAAACUCAUCCAGUGGUUGGGAUGAUCAACGGGAUGUAAUGGAAGCAUGACUCGAGCACCUGAUACUGGAUUCAAGAAGAAGGGGACCUUAGCAUUUCUUGAUUUACGAGAAAGAGAAUCUAUGAUCAGCCAUCCCUCAAUUGCUCCAACACAACGCCAGCAAAAAUCACUGUGAUUGUGUUUUGAUGUGCAGAUUUUCCGAUCGCUUACAAACGAGUAGUCGCCGUCAUCAUCAUCUGUUUUGAUGUAGAAUGUUUGCAUGUCAUCAUAAAAACUAGUCAAAAGCCAUGGGAGUUGAUGAGCCGCAGGAAGCCAACGCUUGCUAUCAAUUAUUGCGGCUCGCCAGCAGUGGCUUACGUCACGAAAGGUCAGAUAAUCUGACAGGGGGAGUCGCUGCAGAAUCACUUGCAUGAUAUCAUAGGGGAGUUCCUCCUUGAAGCACCUAGCCUUGUUGCCUUCUUCUUCUUCUUCUGUUUCUCCUUCUUCUGCUUCUCCUUCUUCUGCUUCUCCUUCUUCUGCUUCUGCACUUCGUCCUUCUUCUUUUGCUUCUUCUUCUUCCGACUUGUAUUGUUUUCUAGUGAAGAUCGUUUCAAACUUGCGGUGUAUCAAACCACGACAUCGUAGUCUACUGAAGAUCUUCAUCAUCGCCGAAUUUGCAAGGAGCACUUCCACAGAGUGCAGAUGAUGGAACUUAAUUGACGAGAAGAUCCCAGUACUUGACUCGAUAUAUAAAUAAGGGUUAAGAUGUAUGAAAUCUUGUGGGAUGGGACUCCUCUUGAAAUCUGGACUGCAUGUAUGUUAAGAAAACUACUUUUUGUUCGGACUUAAAACGGAAUUUCUGAAGGCUCCCACUUACAUCAAGUAUUGUUAAUUAUGUACCCACAAUGGUAUUCACAAAAUUAGUGCUUUUUACCUACUCAAACCGGAAUCCGUUCAGAAAAACUUACUUGAAAGCCAGACCAAUGAUGAGUGAAGUUGUUGAAGCACUAAAGCCUUUACCAAGCCUUAAGGACAUGGCCAGUUCUUCGUAUCACUUUCAAACCAUGCAAGCAGCUCGUACCAGAUCCAACUUGAAUGUUAAGAACGGCAUUAGAACACAAGCGGUCUUUAAUUUGUACAGAGGAAUGGGCAACCAGUAAGGAGCUUGUCAAGCCCAUAGGGUCCUUCUGCUUCUCCAUAUUAAUUAUCCUAAAAAAUCACCAAAACACUCAAAAGAAUGAUCUAUGGCUUUAGUUAUUCUCUAUGCAUAUUAUCUUAGAUUUGACUAUCCAAUUGUGACAGCUUGGCUUCUUCAGAUUGUUUGGUCAAUUAUAGAACAAAAUAAGUCAUUCUUUUUUUGUUGUUGUUGUGUACUCGCCAGCAUCUGACUGCCUGUUAAAUGAAGGUACAAGCCCCUCUGCAUGUAUGUAUGCUUAGGCUUAGUACAUAGUAAUUCAUCACCCCUCGAUCCCCCGUUCUGUAAUUGCUUGGUGGUAAUUUCUUAUUAACUUUGGUCUCUCCUGUUGAUUUUACAUGUCAUUCUGACAUGUAAUCUCAAUUAAGAAAACUAAUGACCGAUGAUCAUGCGUUCAUUGAUAGUUACAUGAUCAUCGAACCCUGGUGGAAUGUAGAUGAUCAACCCAAAAACACAAAAUACAGAUUACAGAGGUAGGGGCAAUACAAAUAAGUAAUAACGUACGCUAUUUUGACACAAACAAUUUUCUUCCCUUUUGUUGUUAAAAGUUUGAGACUAAUAUAAUACAAAAAAUUAAAAGAAGAGGUAGCUAGCAAGGAUUUGGUGUGAACCAAGUACUCUGAUUCAGCAUGCAAGCAUGACGAAGCUCGGGAAGAGUUGUACGUUUGAAGCUCCUAUCUGUCAAGGAAAACACCCCGGACGUGUAUAUAUAUCCCUGUCCUUUCGUUAAAACAAAAUAUAUACAGUUUCUUUUGAGAGUUUUAUCAUGACAAGUGAUACAAAUGUUGUUGAGUGUGCCGAUAAAUAAUGCUCGAUCACCAAGGUCAUCAAUCUCUACCCACUGAGGACUGGUGGUAACAUUGUUAUACUCUAACUUCAACACUCGAAAUAAUCCUUCGAAUCCGUUGUUCUGAUUUUUAGCGAAACCAGGAUCCUGAUACAAAACCAUAAACAGGUCCCUUGAUUCACAACAUUUUGCCAAGUAACAUUUCCGGUAGCAGGUUUCGUCAUCAACUAUGCUGUUAAUGUUGGGGUGAAGAGUAACCAACCUUUGUGAUGUGUAGGCAUGAGUGUCUAAAUGGAUAUCAAACACCAUCACAAACUCUAAUGCCUCUCUACCUAGCGCAUAUAAUUUCCCAUCAAGUAUUUCUACAUCCCAAAAUUUUCGACCUUUCUCAAUCACGGUCCAUGUUUUAUCAGAGGGGGUGCAGAAGGCCAAACGACAUUCGUGUUUAAAGUGAAGGCAACUCACAUAACACUUUGUUGUUGUCGACGUUGGUACCGAAGAGGCUACCACUUUUACUGUCGGAAAGUGCACGUCGCCAUGGCAAUGUGACGGGAGCUUAACUCGAGCACCUGAUACUGGAUUCCAAAAGAAGAAGCUCUCAACAGAUGUUUUAUCAAGUGUUAUGAUCAGCCAUCCCUCAAUUGAUCCAGCACAAUACCAAUAUGCGCCAUGUUUGGUUUGUAUUUUCGGAUGGAUUAAUUAGAAUACGCAAGCAGUCGUCGUCGUCAUCUAUUUUGAUGUAGGAUGCCUCCAUGUAUCUUCCUAAUCUAGAACUGGUCACAAGCUUUGGGAGUCGAUGAUGAUGAGCAUCAGGAAGCCAGCGCUUGCUGUCAAUUGCGGCUCGCCAACAACGGCUUACGUCACGACAGUUCACGUAAUCCGACAGGGGCAGUCGCUGCAAAAUCAGUUGCAUGACGUCAUCUGGGAGUUGCUCGAUCCAACCUUCUCCUUCUUCCGAGUUGUAUCGUUUUCUAGUGAAGAACUUACGGCGUAUCAAAUCACGACACCAUAUCAACUUUCUUGAAAGGCUCCGUCUGCUCAACAUCUUCAUCAUCACGGCAUGUAAGUACAAUCAAGAAGAAACAUUCAUGUAUACGUAUAUGUGAUAUGUGUAAUUUCAAAGGGUUAAGAUGUUUGAAAUCUUAGCUUGAAUGGGAUGGGACUCCUCUUGAAAUAUGGACUCCAUAUAUGUAACGAAGACUGGUUUAUCUUCCGCCAACUUAAGACGGAAGUUCUGAAGGCUCCCCAUUACAUUACUGCUUCUUACCUACUCAAACCAUUCUCCGCUCCAAACAACUUUUUCAUGUCCAGUUGAUUUCUUUUUCAUGACCCUAAACCCUAAACUCUAAACCAAACAAGACAAGAAUGAGCGCAGAAAGCUUCUAGAGGAUGGAAAGAGUAGUACACUGGACAGUAUGACUGACAUUGAUCCAUCUGUUUAUAUAUGCAAGUUGUUAUUGGAUUUCAUCUCAAGUUAUUAUGCAAGUUUCGCCAGGAAUUUACCAGAGUUCUACAAAAGUGCUCUUCUUUAUCUAGCAUACACAUCAUUGGACUCUAUCUCAGAUUCAUUUAAGCUGGAUUUGGCAUCAGGGGAUAGCAUGUUCAACUUUGGAGAGCUAGUUGCCCAUCCUAUUAUCAAGAGUCUUCUAAGGACAAAGGUGUGAGUGGCUUUACUAUAUUCUUCAAGCAUCCAACUCUGGUGAUUGAGGUUGAUAUCGAGAGUUAUGUUGUGUGCACAAUGCUGCUCUGAGUGCUCAACGGGCAUUAGUUGAGAACGAGAAGAAGCUUUUGGAAAUUAAAGAUUAGUGUUCUGUGCUUGAUGGAAAUUAUCUUCAGGCCGGCAGCCAUCUGAAGAUUGAACUAUACUUUUGAGUAUCAUUGCAGAACGUACAAGCCUUUCGAUUGAGGAUGUAGAGCAUCUUCUUAUGAAGAGUCCUUCUGUUCAUCUGAUCGAGGGAAUAAUUGAUCACGUCGAGGGGACGGUCCAUGUUUCGUGGGUGCAAGCUGGAGAGAUCUAUGUGAGCCUGAAGAGAAACAAUAAAGAAUAAUUAAAUACAUAAACACAUGGAAAUUUGGCAACAAUAUAAUGAUUUCUAGAGUAUGAAGUACAAUAUUACGGUUUUGCAGAGCCUUGUAAGGCUUAUCAUCAAUUAACAAGGUGUUCAGAGGAGUAUUUCCCCAUGGAAAGAGGAAGUGAGGCUUUGAAACCCUUGUUUUCCCAUUAACUCCCAAAGAUUCCCAAGGUUCAUUAACAUAUGGUAAUAUGAAUGGAGCUAUUUAAUUACCAAGGUUCAUUAACAUAUGCUUACUGCCCGUAUGUUAAUGAACCUCGGGAAUUUGGAUAUAUGUAUAAACUUUUCCUACUAUAGUAGAAAAAAGAAAGAGGAAGGGUUUUUACGAAAAAAAAAAAGAAAAAAGAAAAAAAAGAAGAAGAUCGAAUAAGGAUAGUAUCCGAGAUGCAGAAAAAUUUGGUCCCUCUACUGAUAAUGCAGUAUCGAUCCUACCAUUAUAAUGCAGUAUUAGCAUGACAUAGACAUGUGAUUUGUAAAUGCAGUAAGAGUAGCAUAUAAACUUAAGUACGGUUUGAGGAAAGUGACUUCUUCAGUUUUCAAACAAAACAAACCUGGCUGGUGUCUUGACGGGGAUCUAAACAUUGUCAUAAAAUUAAACAAAGACCUGUAUGUUAAGUUUCCCAGAAGUCUAACACCUAUAUAUGUUGACAGUAUACAGAGACUACAAUAUAAUUAAUCAAAGACAUGUUUACAGCAAGCUAUUUGGCAGAUUAUUGAUCACUUAAUAUAUCAAGUUGCCAUAAAAGAUUCUCAUAAUUCUACAGAAGCAGGCAUAUGUAGCCUUGAACCACAUGGUGUUCCUUAUCUUCUUUCUAACUUCUACUUGUUUUGAAGCAACACCAUUGACUUACUGAUGAGUUUACUAGCACUGUAUAAACUAAAGGGCUAAACCAUGCAUACUUUCAAAUAAUUUCUUAUCCUAAAAUUGAAACUACGAAUCAAAAGUUCAAAACAUAACAGAGAAGUUGACUAACCCUUUGUAAUAGGCACACAAAUAAACUAAAAACAGAGGUUCAAAUGCAGAAUUUAAAUAGCAAAUACAAGGUUCAAAAUACAUAAUAAAAGUAGAGGUUUGCUAUCUCCUCCUCCUCCUCCUCCUCCUCCUCCUCCUCCUCCUCCUGCAUGGUUCACCUCAUAUGCUCUAUUCUUACUUGCACACUGCCUCACAAGAUUUUCGGUCAACAUGCAACCACUGAAAGUGCUAACAUAUAAAACAAAGUGAAGUGUUGAAAGAAAUUGGAAUGACAAGGCAAAGAGCAUGAUCGCGAUAAUAGAUAUGAGGACUCCAUAAACAUCCAAUAUCCAUCUUAUUCUUCUCAGCUUGACUUUUCCAUUCAUAAAAACCAGGUUCGUACUACUCAACUACACCACAACGAUCUCAAUUAGGCUCAUCGUGAGGAGAACAAUUACGAGUGUAAGUCCGCUUCAUUUCAUCCAAUGGUUCCUCUUUUUCUGUCUAGCUGCAAGUGGCACAACCACGAAGAUGUAAAUCUCGAUUCCGAUCUUCGGAAAAAAACACCCAUUCCUUAGUACUAAGUUUUUUGAUCCCCACCAACUCUUUAACCUCCCCAACUCCCUCGACACCAGCUGCAUUCGCACUGGCUAUGUAAUCGUCGAGCCUGGUUUGAGUUACCUGCAACACUCGAUCCUUCUCAGCCAGAUCUUUUUGCAUCCGAAUCCCCAUUCUUUUGGCCUAUACUUGAAGUUCUUGAGCACGAGCGGCACCCACUUCAUUUUCCUCUGUAAGCACCCUCCGGAUCUCAGAGUCAAUUAGGUUUGCAAGUCGUUCCUCUGUAAGCACCCUCCGGAUCUCAGAGUCAAUUAGGUUUGCAAGCCGCGUUUUCGCUUGCUCGGAGGCCACUCAAUGGACGGCGACGUGACCCUUGAUGGUUGCAUUGAUAUCUGCAAGAAGAGGAGAAUAAUAAAAAGGAUUUAGGUGAAAGUACGUUAAAGAUACGAAGCCCUAGAGGCCGGCCCAAAACAAAAUUUUGGGCUUACCUGCCAUAAAAAAAGUACAGCUGGGGCUGCUAGGCCAUCAAAUACAUCAAAAGCAUUUUUAUAAAUUUUCGUCAUUUUUGUACCGUCAUAUACAAGGAAGUUGUAACAAAUCUCAAAUCUGAAUAACAAAUGUAACAAAUAUGAAACAACUGUAAAACAAAGCCCGUCUAUAACAAAGCCAAGCAGUACUCAAAGGAGUAUGCUAACAAUAAGGACAAGGAGUUUAUAUCACAAAGGAGGUUUCCAUGUUGAGCUAGAUCUAGUCUAAUCACCUUAAACAUGCUUCACAGAGUUGAGCCAUAUGUUACUUAUGAAGCUAGAGUGUUAAGUAUUUGAUUUACAAGACAAAAGACUCAUAUUUGAACAAAGAUGAUUUCAAAGUCCUCAUUUUAAGUAUAAAUUAAACUGCAAAGAAAAGGUCUCGAAAAAAAAGUAUUUGAUUUACAAGCAGAGAAUCAUACAAAGAAUAAGAGGAACCCUUAUGUUGAAGGUGGACAUGUUGAAAACAGUGAGAGAACUACAUUCAUGUGCAGGGCUGGUCCUAAAGGAUUUAAGGCCCCAUGCGGAAAAAAAUGGCCCUAACAUAAAUUUUUAUUUUUUUUUUAAACUUUUUUUUUUCUAAGGUUUUGAACUGAACCAAGUAUAAUGUAAGAAGACUCAUCUUCACGCAUAUAUUUUUUGAUUAAUAUGUUAACUCAUGAGUAUAUAACCGGGGGGGGGGGGAAGAUGGGGACAUAAACCAAUACCUCUUGAAAUAAAAGAAAAAUAAAAUUACAAUGCAUUUUAUGACAUGAGGUGCUUCACGUUCAGUUCAACAACAUGAUUUGAGUGCACAACAAAAUGUUUGAUUAAUGGUUGCAAGGAUUAGUCAGAAAAUGAAACAUAUACUAUGUAAGGAUGGGGGGGUGGGAGGGAAUGGGCAAAUAUUAAAAAAGGACAUUCAAACCAUAAUUAAUGAUACAAAGAGAAAUUAAGAAGCAUUAAGUAAGAAGAUUGAAAUUAAAUAACCACUUUAAUUGUGUUUUAAUGUUUUAUUACAUUUUUUUCAUUCAUUAUAUAUUAUUAUAUGUCAAAACAAAAACAAAAAAAUUAGCCCCCUUUGGUGUUGUGCCCCAUGCUGACGCUCGGCCUGCACUGAGGCAAGACCAGCCAUGUUCAUGUGCUUCAAGGGUUUUCUAGAGGGAAGAAUAUGGGUUAAAGACUUAAAGAUGAAUAUGAGAGGCGACGUACCUUGCAAAUUUCUCCUUGAUGAAAGAGUUGUUUUGGAGACGGUUUUCUCUUGUUUUUGGAGAGAGAGUGAGCAGCCACUAGUUUAAGAGAGAGAGAGAGAGAGAGAGAGAGAGAGAGAGAGAGAGAGAAGAGUAGGUUUGUGCCUUCUCCUCCUCCUGCAUGGCUCACCUCAUAUGCUUUAUUCUUACUUGCACACUGCCUCACAAAGUUUUCAGCCAGCAUGCAACCACUAAAAAUGCAAGCAUAUAAAACAAAGUGAAGUGCUGAAAGAAACCGGAAUGACAAGGCAAAGAGCAUGAUCGCGAUAAUAGAUACGAGGACUCCAUAAACAUCCAAUAUCCAUCUUAUUCUUCUCAGCUUGACUUUUCCAUUCACAAAAACUAGGUUCGUACUACUCAACUGCACCACAAUGAUCUCAGUUAGGCUCAUCGUGAGGAGAACAAUUACGAGUGCAAGUCCGCUCCAUUUCAUCCAAUGGUUCCUCUUUUUCUGCCUAGCUGCGAGUGGCUCAACCAUGGAGAUGUAAAUCUCGAUUCCAAUCUUCGUAAAAAAAAACAUGAUAUCCAUUCCUUAGUACUAAGUUUUUUGAUCCCCACCAACUCUUUAACCUCCCCAACUCCCUCGACACCAGCUGCAUUCGAACAGGCUAUGUAAUCGUUGAGCCUGGUUUGAGUUACCUGCAACACUCGAUCCUUCUUAGCCAGAUCUUUUUACAGCCGAAUCCCCAUUCUCUCGGCCUAUACUUGAAGUUCUUGAGCACGAGCGGCACCCACUUUAUUUUCCUCUGUAAGCACCUUCCGGAUCUCAGAGUCAAUUAGGUUUGCAAGCCGCGUUUUCGCUUGCUCGGAGACCACUCAAUGGACGACGACGUGACCCCUGAUGGUCACAUUGAUAUCUGCAAGAAAGACGAGAAUAAUAAAAAGGGUUUAGGUGAAAGUUAAAGAUACGAAGCCCUAGAGGCCGGCCCAAAACAAAAAUUUGGGCUUACCUGCCAUAAAAACAAGUUUAGCUGGGAUUGCUGGGCCAUCAAAUACAUCAAAAGCAUCUUUAUAAAUUUUCGCCAUUUUUGUACCGUCAUAUACAAGGAAGUUCUAACAAAUCUCAAAUCUGAAUAACAAAUGUAACAAAUCUGAAACAACUGUAAAACAAAGCUCGCUACAACAAAGCCAAGCAGUACUCAAAGGAGUAUGCUAACAAUAAGGACAAGGAGUUUAUAUCACAAAGGAGGUUUCCAUGUUGAGCUAGAUCUAGUCUAAUCACCUUAAACAUGCUUCACAGAGUUGAGCCAUAUGUUACUUAUGAAGCUAGAGUGUUAAGUAUUUGAUUUACAAGACAAAAGACUCGUAUUUGAACAAAGAUGAUUUCAAAAUCCUCAUUUUAAGUAUAAAUUAAACUGCAAAGAAAAGGUCUCGAAAAAAAAGUAUUUGAUUUACAAGCAGAGAAUCAUACAAAGAAUAUGAGGAGCCCUUAUGCUAAAAGUGGACAUGCUAAAAACAGUGAGAGAACUACAUCAAAGAACUACAUUUAUGUGCAGGGCCGGUCCUGAAGGAUUUAAGGCCUUGUGCGGAAAAAAAAAGAUUGGCCCUAACAAAAAAAAAUUAAAAAAAGAUUUUGAACCUAACCAAGCAUAUAUAAUGUCAGAAGACUUAUCUCCACGACUAUAUUUUUUGAUUAAAAUGUCAACUCAUGAGUAUAUAACCGGGGGGAAAGGAUGGAGACAUAAACCAAUACCUUGAAAUAAAAGAAAAAUAAAAUUACAAUACAUUUUAUGACAUGAGGUGCUUCACGUUCAGUUCAACAUGCAACAUGAUUUGGGUGCAAAACAAAAUGUUUGAUUAAUGGUUGCAAGGAUUAGUGGGAAAAAUGAAACAUAUACUAUGUAAGGAUGAGGGGGCUGGGGGAAUGGGCAAAUAUUAAAAAAGGACAUUCAGACCAUAAUUAAUGAUACAAAGAGAAAUUAAGAAGCAUUAAGUAAGAAGAUUGAAAUUAAAUAACCAUUUUAAUUGUGUUUUAAUGUUUUAUUACAUUUUUUUUUCAUUCAUUAUAUAUUAUUAUAUGUCAAAACAAAAAUAAAAAAAUUAGCCCCUUUUGGUGCUGGGCCUGCAUUGGGGCAAGACCGGUCAUGUUCAUGUGUUUCAAGAGUUUUUUAGAGAGAAGAAUCUGGGUUAAAGACUUAAAGACGAAUAUGAGAGGCGACAUACCUUGCAAAUUUCUCCUUGAUUAAGGAGUUGUUUUNNNNNNNNNNNNNNNNNNNNNNNNNNNNNNNNNNNNNNNNNNNNNNNNNNNNNNNNNNNNNNNNNNNNNNNNNNNNNNNNNNNNNNNNNNNNNNNNNNNNNNNNNNNNNNNNNNNNNNNNNNNNNNNNNNNNNNNNNNNNNNNNNNNNNNNNNNNNNNNNNNNNNNNNNNNNNNNNNNNNNNNNNNNNNNNNNNNNNNNNNNNNNNNNNNNNNNNNNNNNNNNNNNNNNNNNNNNNNNNNNNNNNNNNNNNNNNNNNNNNNNNNNNNNNNNNNNNNNNNNNNNNNNNNNNNNNNNNNNNNNNNNNNNNNNNNNNNNNNNNNNNNNNNNNNNNNNNNNNNNNNNNNNNNNNNNNNNNNNNNNNNNNNNNNNNNNNNNNNNNNNNNNNNNNNNNNNNNNNNNNNNNNNNNNNNNNNNNNNNNNNNNNNNNNNNNNNNNNNNNNNNNNNNNNNNNNNNNNNNNNNNNNNNNNNNNNNNNNNNNNNNNNNNNNNNNNNNNNNNNNNNNNNNNNNNNNNNNNNNNNNNNNNNNNNNNNNNNNNNNNNNNNNNNNNNNNNNNNNNNNNNNNNNNNNNNNNNNNNNNNNNNNNNNNNNNNNNNNNNNNNNNNNNNNNNNNNNNNNNNNNNNNNNNNNNNNNNNNNNNNNNNNNNNNNNNNNNNNNNNNNNNNNNNNNNNNNNNNNNNNNNNNNNNNNNNNNNNNNNNNNNNNNNNNNNNNNNNNNNNNNNNNNNNNNNNNNNNNNNNNNNNNNNNNNNNNNNNNNNNNNNNNNNNNNNNNNNNNNNNNNNNNNNNNNNNNNNNNNNNNNNNNNNNNNNNNNNNNNNNNNNNNNNNNNNNNNNNNNNNNNNNNNNNNNNNNNNNNNNNNNNNNNNNNNNNNNNNNNNNNNNNNNNNNNNNNNNNNNNNNNNNNNNNNNNNNNNNNNNNNNNNNNNNNNNNNNNNNNNNNNNNNNNNNNNNNNNNNNNNNNNNNNNNNNNNNNNNNNNNNNNNNNNNNNNNNNNNNNNNNNNNNNNNNNNNNNNNNNNNNNNNNNNNNNNNNNNNNNNNNNNNNNNNNNNNNNNNNNNNNNNNNNNNNNNNNNNNNNNNNNNNNNNNNNNNNNNNNNNNNNNNNNNNNNNNNNNNNNNNNNNNNNNNNNNNNNNNNNNNNNNNNNNNNNNNNNNNNNNNNNNNNNNNNNNNNNNNNNNNNNNNNNNNNNNNNNNNNNNNNNNNNNNNNNNNNNNNNNNNNNNNNNNNNNNNNNNNNNNNNNNNNNNNNNNNNNNNNNNNNNNNNNNNNNNNNNNNNNNNNNNNNNNNNNNNNNNNNNNNNNNNNNNNNNNNNNNNNNNNNNNNNNNNNNNNNNNNNNNNNNNNNNNNNNNNNNNNNNNNNNNNNNNNNNNNNNNNNNNNNNNNNNNNNNNNNNNNNNNUUGAGGGGGUGUAAUGAGACAAGUAGCAAAUGACAAAACUGCUAUGUCCAUUUAUAUCCGUAAAUGGCCUAAAGCCAUUGCUCCUCAGUCCUUCCCCAGUAUCUGAUCUAUGCCAAUAUCACCUAAAAUGGAGAAUGUGCUUUUGCCCGUUGUGGGUUACUGUUUUUGUGUCAUGUAGUCUGUAGAGAGUAGUACUAAAGAGAAAAGAAAAUAUGACAAUAUGCAACCACUGAAAGUGCUAGCAUAUAAAGCAAUGUGAAGUGCUGAAAGAAACCGGAAUGACAAAGCAAAAAGCACGAUCACGAUGAUAGAUAUGAGAGCUCCAUAAACAUCCAAUAUCCAUCUUAUUCUUCUCAGGUUGACUUUUUCAUUCUUAAAAACUGGGUUCCUACUGCUCAAUUGCACCACAACGAUCUCAAUUAGGCUCAUGAGGAGAACAAUUACAAGUGCAAGUCCGCUCCAUUUCAUCCAAUGGUUCCUCUUUUUCUGCCUAGCUGCAAGUGUCUCAACCACGGAGAUGUAAAUCCCGAUUUCGAUCUUCGUCAAGAAAAACAUCCACUCCUUAGUACUACGUUUUUUGGUCCCCACAAACUCUAUAAACUCCACAACUGCCUCGACACCUAUUACAUUCGCACUGGCUAUGUAAUCGUUGAGCCUGGUUUGAGUUACCUACAACACUCAUUCCUUCUCAGCCAAGUCUUUUUGCAGUCGAAUCCCAUUCUCUCAACCAAUACUUGAAGUUCUUGAACACGAGCGGCACCUACUUCAUUUGUCUCUGUUAGCACCCUCUGGAUCUCAGAGUCAAUUAGGUUUGCAAGCUGCGUUUUCUAGAGACAAAAAUCUGCCUUAAAGACUUAAAGAUGAAUCUGAGAGGCGAUCUACCUUGCAAAUUUCUCAUUGAUGAAGGAGUUUCUUUGGAGACGGUUUUCUCUUGUUUCUGGAGAAAGUGAGCAGCCAUAAGUUUAAGAGAGAGAGAGAGAGAAAGAGAGAUGAAUAGUAGGGUUUGUGCUUUGAGGGGGUGUAAUGAGACAAGUAGUAAAUGACAAAAUUGCUAUGUCCGUUUAUAUCCGUAAAUGGCCUAAAGUUAUUGCUCCUUAUAGCAACUUUAGCAGACUCUCUAUUUUAGCUUUUAGCUAUUUUAGAGAGCAUGUUUAGCUUUUUUUUGAUGUUUUAGGAGCUUCAGCAGACUAGCCAAACUUAAGCUAUUAUAACUUUUAGCUAUCUUGCUAGCUAUAUUUAGUUAGCGAGAUGACUCAGACGAGGCUAGCUAUAAUUUAAUACAUUCCUUGUAAGAUAUUUUAUGUGAUAUAUAAAUAUAUUUAAACUAUUUAAUUUCUAUUUGAAGAAUUUGAAGAAUAAUGUUGAUGUAAUGCUAACUAAAAUAGAGAGCAUUGAUGCAGCCACAUUUCUAAAGUGGCUAGCCAAAAUGACAUUUUAACUAAUUUGACUAAAACUUAAAAAUAAUUAGCAUUGCUAAUGCUCUUAGUCCUUCCCCAAUAUCUAAUCACUGCCAAUAUCACCUAAAAUGGAGAAUGUGUAUCUUUGUGAGUCAUGCCAAAUUAAACAUAUAGCAUAUAUUGUUUAGAGUUCUGCUCCUAUAUUAAACACAAGCUAGUACUAAAACUUUUCUCUCAACCUCAAAUAUCAUUUGUCUUUUUGUAUAGAAACCAUUUCCUUGUAACUAGUGUCGUUUUCCAUUUUGAUUACAAAUCACCUAGCUAGUAUUAAUGAAAAGCACUUCAAUAUAUAUANNNNNNNNNNNNNNNNNNNNNNNNNNNNNNNNNNNNNNNNNNNNNNNNNNNNNNNNNNNNNNNNNNNNNNNNNNNNNNNNNNNNNNNNNNNNNNNNNNNNNNNNNNNNNNNNNNNNNNNNNNNNNNNNNNNNNNNNNNNNNNNNNNNNNNNNNNNNNNNNNNNNNNNNNNNNNNNNNNNNNNNNNNNNNNNNNNNNNNNNNNNNNNNNNNNNNNNNNNNNNNNNNNNNNNNNNNNNNNNNNNNNNNNNNNNNNNNNNNNNNNNNNNNNNNNNNNNNNNNNNNNNNNNNNNNNNNNNNNNNNNNNNNNNNNNNNNNNNNNNNNNNNNNNNNNNNNNNNNNNNNNNNNNNNNNNNNNNNNNNNNNNNNNNNNNNNNNNNNNNNNNNNNNNNNNNNNNNNNNNNNNNNNNNNNNNNNNNNNNNNNNNNNNNNNNNNNNNNNNNNNNNNNNNNNNNNNNNNNNNNNNNNNNNNNNNNNNNNNNNNNNNNNNNNNNNNNNNNNUAAUUUUUUUUUUUUUUGGGUCAAUUCAAACUUAAUUUCAAUUCAUGGAUUAUGUAUAUGGAAGGUCUAACCCUAACCCUGUGCCUAUUUAUUUGAAAAUAGUAAAACGCAUGGCUUAGUUGAAAAUACCCAUCAAUUGUCUCUUUUUAUUUGGUAAAAAUAAGGAAACACCGGUGAAACUAACCCAAGCAUACCUAAAAGUAAACAACUAAAGUCAUACGUACGGUUGAGAAGACCAACGACUGUGCUGGGAAGUUGCUUCCUUUUUUCAUUUUCUUUUUGAAAAGUGGGAAGUUGCUUCCUGUGAUCUCGAUAUUUCUGAGUUUCCACUACUCACCUUCCAGGAAUUGUCCUUCACAUGUAAUCAAUCCCAUAUAAAUGUUACAAACCCCGAAUCCUUUAAUUCCACACAACACAAUCAAACACUUCAUUUCUCGAUCUUUCAGCAAACACUUCAUUUCUCGAUCUUUCAGUUAAGUUUCAACUCCUCUAUCUUCUACCUAGCUAUUUCUACACCAACUCAAACAAAAUGACCAAGACAAAACCAACCCUCCCAACUAGCACCAACAGCUGCCACCCUCCUCCUACACAUGUUGCUGCUCAAUUCACUCUUAGCUUGCCGUCCGUUGUGUUCCUUAACCUCACAAUAACAACCCUCACAACCAUGUACCGCGCCUACCAGCACCGAGACAUCACCUUGCUCGCUUUCCUCGUAUUCGUCUACGCAUCCUAUUUCACCCUCCAUAACUGUGUAGAGGUCUACAGCCGACUUCCCAAGGGCGAAAAGUCGACCAAGAAAGAGCUGCUGAGGUUCACUUUGUGGUUUUUGCCAACAGUAGUGUUUUUUGGAUUUGCUCUUGAGUUUGGGACGUUCAUGCCCGUGACUGUGGUUGUGCUAAUGUACUGUCUCGCCAUUGCUAGCAGCUCGUUGCUGUUCUAUGCUCACUAUAUUCAGGAUGAUCAAAAGGGAUAUAAUACUUGCGCUGAUGAUCAGAAGAAGAGUAGCAGCAACAAGCAUGAUCAUGUACCAAGUGCCCAAAACAUUGUGUAAAAGUGUAAAAAAUGGAGAUGUGGGUAUCGAUACCCGUACCUCUCGCAUGGUAAGCGAGUGCUCUACCAUCUAAGCUACAUCCCCCAUAUUCGUUGUCCAAACCAAACAAGUAUUUAUCUACUACAAAUUCUGUUCCAGAUUAAAAUUUGUUGAUUUGACACAUUAAUAAUGUUACAAAUUAAGAAGAAAAAAUUUCAGUUUACCCCUUAAAUCUUUAGUGGCAAAAUCAGUUCAGUCCUGUAACUUUUUUUUAAAUAAGUUCGCCCCUUCAACUUUUGUAAACACAUCAGUUAGGUCCAAUUUUUGAAUUUCCCUCAAAAUAUGACGUCACCAAAACUGUUGGAACUGACAAAGGGACCCAUAAUUCAACUUUAUCCCCUCAUUUUCAAUAAAAUGUCUGAAAUUAUGGGUCCCUUUGUCAGUUCCAACAGCUUUGGUGAUGUCAUAUUUCGAGGGGAAUUCAAAAAUUGGACUGAACUGAUUUUGCCACAAAAGAUUUGGAGGGUAAACUGAAUUUAAUUUAAUUAAAAAUUUGCGACACUGUAUGUCUUAAAGACUUCUAGCUAAUAAACUUGUUGAGUAGCUAAUAAACUUGUUGAGUAACAGACAUAACUUAUCCUCUCCUGCUUCUUCUCAAUAGUUGCUGCUGUGUUCUACAGUUCUACCUUAUCUUGGUCUCUUCAUGAUAAUCCUCUUAGUCAGUUAACUGUACGAUAACUAUAGAUAGGCUUAAUGAUCUUGUAUUUGAAUUUUGUAAUUCCCUCUUCUUUCUGUUGUCAAGAGAUAGACUCUAAUCUCAUGUAAAGUCUAUCUCUACGAUCAGUUGAUGUAUAGCGUCUAUAAAAGACUAUGAAUGAACACAGCAUGAGUGUGCUUCCCUUUACACUCAUAAUCAAAGUCUAUUAUUGAGCUUUAUGGUUAAUUCGGACAGGUAUGGCCGGUCGUAUGGGCACAGUUGAGGUUGUGCUGCUUAUGUCUAAGAUCAUUACUAGUAGCGCCUCAUCGUUCUACAUCUUGACCUAGUAGUUCCUGACAUCCAUUUGAUGCAUCAAAUAAACCUAAGAAGCUAACUUAAAUUCGAAAACUAAAUGACAAUAAUGUUCAUAAUUCUCAAUGUAUCAACAUACAUGCACAAGUGAUCGAUCAAAGUGUAAGAGACAACUGGUGUAUAUAUGCAAUGGUUCACUGAAGUUUCUCGAUCGAUCUCUAUGUCAUUUGACGUAACUUGUUAGUUUAUCGAAUCGAUCAGGCUAAUCUUCAUUAGUGUUUCUUUAGUUUAAUUCUAUUAUAUAUGCAAGUUCGAUCAAUAUAUACCUACCUUGUAAAGCAGGCUUAAUUGGUUUUGAGAGAGGAAGAUCGAUAUAUUUUGGGUCUAAUUGCUCUAGUAACUUGCUCUAAAGUAAUAUGUUCCUCUCCUAGUCAAAAGUCUAAUUGUUAUUAGAUAAGGACCCGAUCCCAUACCUCAUGGACUGAACUUUGAGAGAUUAUAACAUGUGUUCCUUAGGUCAUAUACGUAGCAGUUUUAGCCGUCAUUUUCUUAUUGUACUCACUACUCCUGGUCUACAAAUUUGUAUUUCUCUAGAGAGAAAACUGUUAUCACCAAACAAAUGGUUAAAAACGUUAGAAUGGAGCCAUGGAGGUAAUGUUUGAAAGUCGGAUAUGCAAAAACAACAAAUUCAGUGUACAGUAAACUGAUAUAGCUCAAUCAAAUUAACUCACGGAUUAAUAAUUUCCCAAUUGACAUCCACCGCCUAGAAACAUUUGAUUGAUGACUAGGAUAUGUUUCUAGGCGAUGGAUGUCAAUUGGGGAAUUAUUAAUCCGCGAUUUAAUUUGAUUGAGCUACAUCAGUUUAAACCCUAGUAAUGAUCUUAGACAUAAGCAGCACAACCUCAACUGUGCCCAUACGACCGGCCAUACCUGUCCUAAUUAACCAUAAAGCUCAACAGGUUUAUUAGCUAGAAGUCUUAAGACGUACAGUACCGCAAAUUCUUAAUUUGUAACAAUAUUAAUGUGUCAAAUCAACAAAAUUUUAAUCUGGAACAGAAUUUGUAGUAGAUUUUUACUUGUUUGGUUUGGACAACGAAUAUGGGGAUGUAGCUCAGAUGAUAGAGCGCUCUCUUAGCAUGCGAGAGGUACGGGGAUCGAUACCCCGCAUCUCCAUUUUUAACACACUUUUACACAAUGUUUUGGGCACUUGGUACAUGAUCAUGCUUGUUGCUGCUACUCUUCUUCUGAUCAUCAGCGCAAGCAUUAUAUCCCUUUUGAGCAUCCUGAAUAUAGUGAGCAUAGAACAGCAACGAGCUGCUAGCAAUGGCGAGACAAUACAUUAGCACAACCACAGUCACGGGCAUGAACGUCCCAAACUCAAGAGCAAAUCCAAAAAACACUACUGUUGGCAAAAACCACAAAGUGAACCUCAGCAGCUCUUUCUUGGUCGACUUUUCGCCCUUGGGAAGUCGGCUGUAGACCUCUACACAGUUAUGGAGGAUGAAAUAGGAUGCGUAGACGAAUGCGAGGAAAGCGAGCAAGGUGAUGUCUCUGUGCUGGUAGGCGCGGUACAUGGUUGUGAGGGUUGUUAUUGUGAGGUUAAAGAACACAACGGACGGCAAGCUAAGAGUGAAUUGAGCAGCAACAUGUGUAGGAGAAGGGUGGCAGUUGUUGGUGCUGGUUGGGAGGGUUGGUUUUGUCUUGGUCAUUUUGUUUGAGUUGGUGUAGAACUAGCUAGGUAGAAGAUAGAGGAGUUGAAAAACUGAAAGAGAAAUGAUCGUAGUGUUUGAUUGUGUUGUGUGCAAUUAAAAGGUUCGGGGUUUGUACCAUUUAUAUGGGAUUAUAAUGUGAAGGACAAUUCGUGGAAGGUGACUGGUGGAAACUCAGAAAUAUCGAGAUCACAAGGAAGCAACUUCCCAGCACAGUCGUUGGUCUUUUCAAGGUAGUUUAUUCUCAACCUUAUGACUUUAGCUAGGCUUGGGUAGUUUCACCGGUGUUUCCUUAUUUUUACCAAAUAAAAAGAGACAAUAGAUGGCAUCAUCCGAAGUAAUAGUGGUUUAGUUUCAACACGGUAAGUGCACGUUUGGUACCCGGUAUUGGGUUAGACCUCCUUAAUUUUUAAGACUGUCCUGCACUAGUGUGGACUGUCUUAAAUUGUACUAAUACUGGGCCACGUUUGGUGUUGCAUGAGAUUAGGAAAAAAAAUUCUAAAUUAGAGAUGUCUCAUGUUUGGUGAUGCAUUGGACUAGACUACUCUAAACAUAACAAUCUUAGUCUAACAAUCUAAACAAUCUUGGUCAUCUAACAAUAACAAUCUAACAUCUAACAAUCUUGGUCAUUGAAAUUUUGACAAGGAUUAUACAAACAGACAUUCUCUAAAUGUCACAGUUCCAACAGCAAGAUCAAUAACAUAUUUCUUCCAUCCAUAUCUAAAAGUAAAAAAAUUGAAUCAACCAACAAUUCACCACAAACAAAUAAGUGUAUGAAUAGACUUGCAUGCCUUAGUUAACAUUGAUAUCAGUAACAUUUAGUCAGAAUCAACAUAUUAAGAACCAAACAGUUAGUAUUCCAAUGUUUGUUUUGAUAAACAAGCAUCAAACAGAUAACAAUUCACCACAAUUAAACUGAAUCAACAUUAAACUGAUCAAUUAAUUAUCAAAGAGAGAAAUGAAGAAAUAGAUGGACAUACCUGUUGACGAAUCCGGGAAGAAGAUGGCGGCGAGCUUGGCCUUGGAGGUGUCGACGACGCUGGUCAGAGGAGGUUGAGGACGGACCGGGUCUGGGAGACGAGGGUGCGGAUUAGAGAGGAGGUUGAGGACGGGAGCGGAUGCGGGUCUGGGAGCCGAGGGCGUGGACGGGAGGGGUUGCGGGUCUGGGAGCCAAGGGCGAGGGUCAAAGAGGAGGUUGAGGACGGGAGAGGGCGCGGGUCUGGGAGCCGAGGGCGAGGGUGGAGGAGGUUGAGGACAGGAGAGGGCACGGGUCUGGGAGCCGAGGGAGGGGGUGGAGGAGGUUGAGGACGGGAGAGGGCGCGGGUCUGGGAGCGGAGGGCGCGGAGCAGAUGCGUAUCUGGGAGAUGAUUGUGGAGGAGUUGUGGAGGAGGCGUAGAGAGGUUAGUGAGAUUAGUGAGGUCUUAUCUAAGGUAGGAUUUUCGGAGUACCCACGAUAACACCGGUUAAGGAGGAGAAAUAAAAAAACCGGUCCUAGUUAAGCCCAUUAAUUUUAGUACCGAGAGAGACCAAACAUGGAAUUAGCUUUGUUUCACUCCUUAUUUAAGACUGGCUUAGGUAGUACCGGGUACCAAACGUACCCUAAGUUUCUUGGUUCGGUCAAAGCACAAGUAUGUUUUGUAUGUUUAGGCAUGAGUACGUAUGACAUAUAAAUCACUUAAAUAACAUUUUAUUAUAAGUGGGCAUUUUCAUUGAUUAACCUAUUGGUUGAAUAUCGAAAAUAAAUCUAAUUUUAUUAUGUCCAAUCGAGCAAUUUUAAAAUUAAUAUGUAUGUAAGAUCAUAAAGAAGACACCUGAUAUAAGAAUACCAGGCCCGCUCACCUGCGGGACAUGAAUUAAGGGACAAAAAAGGACGAAGUGAUCCUAGCCGUCGAUUUGAAUCAAGGAUAGAAUUCGAAUCAAUCAACCUAGCCAUGCAAUGUUUUUACAUGAUCAAAAUGAUCGGUUUGAUCAUGUGACUUUGAUUUCCUUUUUUUCUCCAAAAAAUAAAAAAGAAAUAACAGAAAUGGAGAUGCGGGGUAUCGAUCCCCGUACCUCUCGCAUGCUAAGCGAGCGCUCUACCAUCUGAGCUACAUCCCCGAAGAUGAAAACCCUCCUUUGUUUCCACUCAUUACAUACAAAACUACUAAAUCCCAUUCCAUGUACCUACUUCAAAUCGUUGGUUUCACUUCCACUCUCGCUUCCACUCUCGUCCUGCAAAGCAUCACAAAAUGUUGAGACGUCUACUUCUCCAAGCUUCCACUUCUCGUCGCCUUGCCGCUGCCCACUUCACCCCACCACACUCUCCUCCUCUGCUUCGUUGCCCAUUUUCUUCUUCUUCUUCUUCACCCCAACAACCCCCCUCCACCACCAUCUCCAUCGACCGCUCCGACCUCUGCAAUCCCGCCGGUAAUUCCCACCUUCCCCUUUUAAACAUUUCGAACUGCUUUUCAUUAUCGGGUUUGAUUCAGUUUUUCUGUUAUGGCAGAGCAUUCCCAUGAGCCUUGUUCCGACUCUGACCUCGUCAAGCACCUCAAAGGCAUCAUCAAGGUUCGAUUCUUUUUCUUUUUUGUUCUUGUUUUUAAUUCUGAUAGGUUUAGCGGUGGUUCUUGGUAUUUGAAAGUAAGUUUGAUUUGUGUGUUAGUUUCGUGGCGGCCCAAUCUCGGUGGCUGAGUAUAUGGAGGAGGUUCUGACGAACCCGAAAGCUGGGUUCUACAUGAACCGGGAUGUGUUUGGGGCCGGAGGUGAUUUCAUUACCUCUCCAGAAGUCAGCCAAAUGUUUGGGGAGGUGGCUUUUCUUGCUCAGUGGUUUUUUAUGAUUGUGUUGAUUUUCGAUACGUAAAUGAUUCUUGAUUUGAUUUGUAGAUGGUUGGUGUUUGGGCAAUGUCUCUAUGGGAGCAAAUGGGGCAGCCAGGAAAAAUCAACUUAGUAGAGCUAGGUCCGGGGAGGGGGACACUCAUGGCCGACCUUCUUCGGGUAUGGAAAUGGCUCUCCCCUAGUCUCUCCUCGUUUGAGUUUCUUGUUUGAUGCUAUAGAAAUGGAGAUGCAAUGAUUUCAUUUUUUUUUUUUUCUUUGCUUUCUUGUGCUGUGUAGGGUGUGUCGAAGUUUAAGAGCUUCACUGAUUCGUUGCAUGUACACAUGGUGGAGUGCAGCCCUGCGUUACAGAAGCUCCAGCAACAGGCCCUCAAAUGUGUAGAUGAAGAGAGUGAGGCUGACACGGCCGAUAAAAGGGCUGUCAGCACUUUGGCUAAUGCUCCUGUGUCAUGGCAUGCCACAUUGGACAAGGUUCCUUCAGGAUGUGAGUGGUUUUAUUAUAAUUGGUACUCCUAGAAAUGAGCUUAUUUCAAUGGUGUUCGUCUUAGCAGUUGACUGAUUGCGUACUUCUUUGCAUAUACUCUAGUUAGCUCUUCAAGUGAGGGUUGAGUUUUGAUUUCCUUAAGACUAUGUCAUGAGAAGUAAAUAGGACAUGCAUCAGAUAUCAGAUAUGUAGCAGAUACUUAUGUCUCUUUACUAUUUAACACAUGAUUUUCACCUCACUGUCUGUUCAAAUACUAUAGCAUGCUAAUAGUAACUCAAUUAACUCGACAUGAUUUAUAUCAUACAUAUUAAUGUUUAGUUUGUAACAUAGUGAUCAUCUAUAAGUUUAAGGUAACCAUUACGCUCUUAUCAUGUGGCCAUUCUGAAGCUAAAUAACUUAUUUUAAAAAUUUGUUGCUAUAUUAUUAGGAUGGUGUAUGGUAUUAGAAGAUUGAAUAUGACGGUUUCUUUUCUUCCCGGACAACUACAGUUGUUUACUAUAACUUUCUUCACUGUCGUGCCAGUACCAUCUAUCAUCAUCGCCCAUGAGUUUUAUGAUGCUUUACCAGUUCAUCAAUUUCAGGUUCGUAUGGUCUUUUCUAACCUGUGUCUUCAAAAUGAUCAUUCUCUGCAUAUCUUCUUAUUCUUAUCUCACUUACUAAUCUUUCUUUGCAGAGGGCUUCUCGUGGCUGGUGUGAGAAAAUGGUGGAUGUUUCAGAAGAUUCAAAGUAAGGAUGUAACAUUAUGUCCAAUACAAUUAGUGUUUUUAAGAGAGAUGGGUUAUAAAAUUGUUAUAAACAUUGUUUAGGUUCCGCUUUGUUCUUUCUUCACAGCCUACACCAGCAACACUUUAUCUGGCGAAACGUUGCAAAUGGGCUGGGAUGGAAGAAAUAAAGAAGCUUGAUCAUGUUGAGGUUUGCCCUGCAUCAAUGGAGUUAACUCAAAGUAUCGCUGAUAGAAUUGCUUCUGAUGGGGGUGGUGCUCUUGUAAUUGAUUAUGGUCAGAAUGGAGUAGUCUCUGAUAGUCUGCAGGUCUGUUACCUUAACAUUGCUAGUUCUGCUAGUCUUCUCAGAUGUAAAUCAUGAGAUCUUCUGCUACUUGCUAACUUUUGCAAUGUCUUGUUUCAGGCAAUUCGGAAACAUAAAUUUGUCGACAUUCUAGAUGAUCCAGGAUCUGCUGAUCUCAGUGCAUACGUUGAUUUUGCUUCUAUCAGGCACUCAGCCGAGGAAGCUUCAGGUGUCUCGUCGUGUUACUCUUAGAAUCAUAUUUCUAUUGAUUGGUUGAACUGGAGGUUGAAAAAUUGAAUUUGUUGGUUUAAUCUUAAUGUCUACAGGAGAUGUGUCUGUUCAUGGCCCUAUCACUCAGUCACAGUUCCUUGGGUCUCUUGGGAUAAAUUUCCGAGUGGAAGCAUUAUUACAGAACUGCACAGAGGAACAAUUUGAAUCUCUCAGGUCAGGGUACUGGCAACUGGUAGGAGAAGGUGAGGCUCCCUUCUGGGAGGGUCCUGACGAAAAAGUUCCCAUCGGAAUGGGUACCCGUUAUUUGGUAAUGGCUAUUGUGAACAAGAAGCAAGGUGUUCCAGUUCCAUUUCAGUGACUUUGAGAGCUGUAACAUUUAGGUGAGAUAUGUUGCUUGUACAUUAGACAAAAAAAAAAAAAUUUAACACAAACUAUAGCAACUUCAAGUUGAAGAUUUUCAUAAUUUCAAUUCCAAAUUCAUGUGCAUUUUGUGAUGCGCUAAGAAAUAUGAGGAAAUGUCAAGCUCUGAAUUUGCUUCUUGUUGUUGUUCCAGUUCUUGUAAAACUAGCUCCAAAUAAAUGCAAGUUCAAAGUUGAUAGACAUCAUAAGACUGGACUCGAUUAGCUGAUGAGAUUGAAGUCGUCGUUGGUUUUACAGUCGGAUACGAUCCGUAAAUAAGUCGGAUACCGGGGGGCAAUAAUGACUUUUAAUCCUUAACGUAGAAUAAUAAAGUGGAUGGCGUCCACAAACUAGAAACAGUGUUAUCCACAAACUGUGAAUUAGAAUCGACUGUGUAGAGAGAGUGAAGAAGAAGAAGAAGAAAGAGAAGAAAGGAUGGGAUCGGUAUUGUCAUUCUUUUUAGGAGGGGACGCGGCGGCGGCAUCGGAGGGGUCAUCGGAGGGGUCUCUAGUGACGUCGUUUCACUCGGCAGCCAGGUGGCAGCUCCACUUGAAUUCCAUGAAGGAGAGCUCCCAACUGGUAGUUGUUCUUCUUCUCUAAUUACUAAUUGAGCUUCAAGAUUUCUGAAAUUAGGGAUCUGAGUUUGAAUUGCUGCCUAUGUGAAGCUGGUGAUCGAUUUCUCGGCGUCGUGGUGCGGGCCCUGCAAGUUCAUUGAGCCGGCCAUCCACGCCAUGGCGGAGAAGUUCACCGACGUUUACUUCGCCAAGAUCGACGUCGACGAGCUAUCUGUACGUUCAGUUUCACUCUAUCCGUCAUCGUGAUUCGAUAUUUAUAGUUUUGAGUUUUUUGAUGAUGCGAUCAAGUUUGGAUAGUGAUUACUUGUUUUGUUUCGAUUUGGUUGAAAACAGGAAGUGUCUCAACAGUUUGAGGUGCAGGCAAUGCCGACGUUUGUGCUUUUGAAGAAGGGGAAGGAGGUGGAUCGGGUUGUCGGUGCCAAGAAAGAUGAACUUGAGAAGAAGGUUGAGAAGUUCCGUCACUCUGCAUAAGCUAAGUUUUCAUUUCAGUACUUAUAAGUUUGUGAUUUACUAAUUGUUACCAAUCAUUGCUCAGAUUUCUCGGGUUGAUUCAAAAAAACUUAUUAUUGUUCUAGGAUAUUCUCUAUGUGUGCCUUGGCCUUAUGCCAAUAGGAUAUGUAGUUAGACUAGAUCUAUGUAUUCAUAUCCUUACCAUAUUGGUAUUGUAUAAUUCCCUAUAUAAAGGGCUCCUAUCAAUGAAUAAGAUGAUGAUUCUCUUGCUAUCUCUUUGUCUGUACACUUUAUCCUUCAUCACGUUAUCAAAUUCUAGUUUUGUUGUCAAGUGGCAUUACUAAUUUACUGUAUAAGCAUACUGCAUACUUGUUACAUGAUUCUAUGUUUAAAUAAACACUAUGUCCUACUGCAAACCAUAAGCUAAAUUAAUCGCAUCUUAGACAGUGUAUGUUUGCUGAAGUGCAUCGUAAACAGUGUAUGAUUGCUGAAUUGUGUCGAUGUCUAGGCCCUUCAUCCUCACCACUGAUUCGACAUGCCCUUUCAGGGUGUUCAACUCCCUCAGCCUGCAAAAAUGCCAUGUUUUUGCCUAUUCAUCACACUCGUUAUGUUUUGAAAGCUUCAAUGAAUAGAAUAUAGAAAAUGUAAUACCUGGUAAUUUAUGCUCGUCUUUUUGCCUCUUCAGCCAUCUGAUUAAGUUCUGUGUAAGAAUUGCGUUCACCAAACUUUUUUGGUGUCCGGCAGUUGCAGACCAUGGAGAGUCCUCUGGGCGUGUGCCCAUCUGAGCUCCCUUUCUUCCUUUCUGAAAUUCUUCUUUCUUGUGAAGGCAAUCUGCAAAGCAAAGAAUUGCAAAUUAAAACUUGAACAGAGAGAGUAGUAAACUAGAGUGACAAUGCUCCUAUAUCCUACAUACCCUCUGCUCAAAUACGAGAUCAUCCCAGGCUCUCCCACUCAGUGCGUAUCGGAUGAUGAACUUGACGAUAUCAAGUGGAAGAUAGAAGACGAGGUUAUAUAACCAAACAACACCAGCCCAACCCCACCCAAUUCCCUCUAUCGCAGCGAAACUCCAAUCGGCAUACACAGCGAUAAGUGUAGCAAUCUGCUCAGGAUGGAGAUUUAGCACUGAUGAUCUGAUAUUUUCAAAAUAUAAUCAAAAUAUUCAAGUACCAAUAUAAUAAAACCAAAACUUUCACUCACCAGCUGAGCAAUAACAAAAGCUGCUACAAGUAAAAGACCAGGUCGCUCGAGGAAAGACCAACUACGUGCCCGGGUGACGAAUAUGAGAGCCUGACUGAUGGUACUCACUUGCAGGUACACUGCAGCAGAAAGCUUCCUAUAGUUGUCAUUAUCCUUUCUAUGAAGGCUUGGAACCCCAAAGUGACGCUGGAAAUGACAAAGGUAAGUGUUAGAGGAGAAACCAAGUCUAGAACACACCCAUAUAACAUAAUUAGCAAUAUCCACAUAGGAACAAGAAAAUCACACUUACAGGGAAGAAGUCUGUAUCGUAUGCUGCCCAAAAGAAAAUGACCGUCAUAACUGCUAAGUAACUACCCAGGAUGAUACCCGGUGGUAAAGAUCUCCGCAAGUUUCCAACUGUCUGGCAUAGGAGAGGGUUUCACUCUAUCCUUUGAAAUUGUCAUUAUAGUACCUGAAGAAAUGCCAUACAUAUGUUGGCAUUCAUGAAGUAUUUAGGAAAGGUACAUGUGUAAAUUCAUUGGAAACUCGAAGAAGUCAUAUGUAAAAGGUGAAUACAAACCAUCAUUGAGAAUAGCAAUGAUCAGAACCAUGAAGGGUGGGAAGUCGAAGUGCCAUGUGAGUGCCAGUAGCAUGAAACCAAGCUGUCAGUAACAUUGUUGGUAUUGUGUCAUCAUACGUCCUUUGGAUCGGCCAACAUUCCCACAAUAGCAGCAUCUAUUGCAUCUUGAUUUUCAAUCCGGGAUGCUCGAGCUGCCAUUAGAACAACAGUAUCUACGUCCACCCCUUUAACAAAGACCUAAACAAAUAAAUUCAAGAAAGAAGUUGGAACAGGUAUUGCAAUACAGCUAUAUAAGAAGGCUAAGAACCUAACAAGUAACAACUACAACACCAGCAAACCUCUAGAAGAGUCUUGUCAACUGUAAGCUUAUUCAAUGUCAGAGUCCCAGUUUUGUCACUGCAAAGAACAUCCAUGCCUGCCAUUUCUUCAAUUGCCGUCAUCCGUUUAGUGAUAGCACCCUGCAACAUUUAUAUUAGCUCUAAUUCUAACCUUCCUUGGCUUGACAAGCAAGUUGUAAAUUGAGAAGUUACUGCAACUAACCUGCUCAGCCAACCAGUGGGAACCAAUAGCCAUUGUCACAGAUAAAACUGUGGGCAUGGCAAUGGGAAUUCCUCCGAUAAGUAGCACAAGCAGGUUGUCAAUACCAGGGCGGUAACUCCGGUGUUGUAUUGGGUACAUGACUAUGAUCUCUAUGAUCAUUCCCACAGCGAUGGAACAUAUACAGAAAUUCCCAAUUGCAGUCAAGACCUACAUAGCAUAUGGAAAACAAGAGAAACUGAAUCCGAUUCCCACUAUAUCAAACUCUUCAGUUAAAGUUUAUACUUUAGACUUGAGAGAAAAUAAAUCAUCCUAGUGCAAGCAUACCUGUUGAAAAUGACCCUGUUGAUUCGUGCUAUCGACAAGGUGCGCAGCCUUGCCGAAAAAGGUAUGAACACCAGUGGCAAUGACCACCGCUUCAAUCUCUCCUUGUUUGCAUGUAGAACCAGAAUACACACUGUCACCAGGGCUUUUGGUCACAGGAAGUGACUCACCUGUAAGUGAUGACUUCAAAGACCAAAUGCAAAGAAUUAGACUAAACAGCUCCAUUUAAUCAAAUAGUUUUGCGAAAGUGUGAUUGCUAAAGCACCUGAUCAAUUUUCAAUGGAUCACCAUCGAGGAGACGGGCAUCUGCUGGAAGAAUGUCUCCAAGUUUAAUGCUGAUUAUGUCACCAGGAACAAGAAUGGAGUAGUCUCUGAUAGUCUGCAGGUCUGUUACCUUACCAUUGCUAGUUCUGCUAGUCUUCUGAGUUGUGAGUCAUGAGUUCUUCUGCUACUUCCUAACUUUUGCAAUGUCUUGUUUCAGGCAAUUCGGAAACAUAAAUUUGUUGACAUUCUAGAUGAUCCAGGAUCUACUGAUUUCAGUGCCUACGUUGGUUUUGCUUCUAUCAGGCACUCAGCCGAGGAAGCUUCAGGUGUCUCAUCGUGUUACUCUUAGAAUCAUAUUUCUAUUGAUUGGUUGAACUGGAGGUUGAAAAAUUGAAUGUGUUGGUUUAAUCUUAAUGUCUACAGGAGAUGUGUCUGUUCAUGGCCCUAUCACUCAGUCUCAAUUCCUUGGGUCUCUUGGGAUAAAUUUCCGAGUGGAAGCAUUAUUACAGAACUGCACAGAGGAACAAUUUGAAUCUCUCAGGUCAGGGUACUGGCAACUGGUAGGAGAAGGUGAGGUGUUAGAACCAUCUCCAUUACCUUGAUACUAAUCACCUAGUUAUCGAUGGAUCACAUGUAAUGAAGCUCCAUCCCUUUCAGCUAUGCUGGCAGAUCUGUUGCUAUCAUGACCACUUCAAACUGGUCCCCUUUUGUCUCCUAGAGUCUAGGACUCUUUUGGCUGAACUAGGUGGCAUUAGUCCACAUCUUCCCUUUAUAUUUGUACUUCCAAGCCAUUGGCAGGAUAUCAAUGAAUUAUGCAUCUCUAAACUCCUUUCUCUUCUCUCCUCUCUGUAAUUUCCUCCUAACCAGUUUGGUUCUACCAUGAGGCUCCCUUCUGGGAGGGUCCUGACGAAAAAGUUCCCAUCGGAAUGGGUACCCGUUAUUUGGUAAUGGCUUAUUGUGAACAAGAAGCAAAGUGACUUUGAGAGCUGUAGCAUUUAGGUGAGACAUGUUGCUUGUACAUUAGCAAAAAAAAAAAAAAAAAAAAAAAAAAAAAUUAACAAACUAUAGCAACUUGAAGUUUUUCAUAAUCUCAAUUCCAAAUUCAUGUGCAUUUUGUGAUGCGCCAAGAAAUAUGAGGAAAUGUCAAGUUCUGAAAUAACUUGGGUGACCAGCUAUGGUCACUUAUGAGUGACAAACAUUAAUAAAAGAUGAACAAGUGUCAACAAUAAUCAUAAACAAACAUACCAAAUAUCCAAAACCUCAUGUUAUGUCCUUAAAUUGCAGUUAAGUCUUCUAAAAAUAAACACAUAUCUCAUGUUCCCUUGUCACCGAAGUGAGAAUCUUCCGGUUCUUGUAAAACUAGCACCAAAUAAAUGCAAGUUCGAAGUUGAUAGACCGUCGUCGGUUACGGCCGGAUACGAUACGCUUAAUGAUUAACGUAGAAUAGGAUACGAUACGUUUAAUGAUUAACGUAGAAUAAUAAAGUAGACGGCGUCGUUUUGGCAGGGCCAACUAGAAAUAGUGUUGUCAACAAACUGUGAAUUAGAAUUGACUUUAUAGAGAGAGUGAAGAAGAAGAAGAAAAAGAGAGAAGAAAGGAUGGGAUCGUUUCUGUCAAGCUUGCUUGGAGCAGGGCCGGCGGCGGCGGAUGACUCGGCGGAGUCAUCGGAGAAGUCUCGAGUGACGUCGUUUCACUCGGCUGCCAGGUGGCAGCUCCACUUGAAGGAAUUCAAGGACACCUCCAAACUGGUACUUGUUCUUCUUCUCUAAUUACUAAUUGAGCUUCAAGACUUCUGAAAUUAGGGAUCUGAGUUUGAAAUGCUGCCUAUGUGAAGCUGGUGAUCGAUUUCUCGGCGUCGUGGUGCGGGCCCUGCAAGUUCAUUGAGCCGGCCAUCCACGCCAUGGCGGAGAAGUUCACCGACGUUGACUUCGCCAAGAUCGACGUCGACGAGCUAUCUGUACGUUCAGUUUCACUCUAUCGUCAUCGUGAUUCGAUAUUUAUAAGUUUUUUGAUGGUGCGAUCAAGUUUGGAUGUUGAUUGUUUUGUUUCGAUUUGGCUGAAAACAGGAAGUGUCUCAAGAGUUUGGGGUGCAGGCAAUGCCGACCUUUGUGCUUUUGAAGAAUGGGAAGGAGGUGGAUCGGGUUGUUGGUGCCAAGAAAGAUGAACUUGAGAAGAAGGUUGAGAAGCACCGCUGAUUCUGAAUAAAGCUAAGUUUUCAUUUCACUACUUAUAAGUUUGUGAUUUACUAAUUGUUACCGAAAAUUGCUCAGAUUUCUCGGUUUGAUUCAAAAAAAACUUAUUAUCAAAUUCUAGUUUUGUUGUUAAGUUUUGUAUAAGUUUGUGAUUUACUAAUUGUUACCAGAUUUCUCGGUUUGAUUAAAAAAAAAAAACUUAUUAUAAGUUUUUGUGGCAUUACUAAUUUACUAUAAGCCUCGUUUGGUAACAUGGAAAAGAAAUUCGUUCCUCAGUAUUUCCCACGGGAAAGGAAAAUUAGUGGGAAACUUAUAUUCCUUUCUGUUGUUUGCUGCAAACAACAAACGUUGGGAAAUCAAUGAGAAAACAUGUGUUUGUUUCCAUUUUGAUGUUUGGUUUGUGCAAGGAAAGGAAACUAAGUUAUAUUGAAAUCUCAUUUAUGUCCUCAUAUAUAUUAAAAUAUAUAGUUAGACAAGUUUCAUAGAUAAAAUUCUUAACAAAAAAAUUCAGUAAGGAUAUAAAUAUAUUUAAACUAUGUAAUUAAUGCACAUUUAAUGUUGGGAAAGUAGAAAGGAAAGUGAAUCCUUUGGAGGAUGGAAGGACUGAAUUUCCCACAUAUUUUCCUGUCUUAAAGGAAAGUUGUUUCUUUUCCAUAGGAAAGUAACAACUUUCCUUUCCCAAGCCCUUAAUUCCACGAAACACAAACGAGGAUAAGCAUACUGCAUACUUGUUACAUGAUUCUAUGUUUAAGCAAACACUAUGUCCUACUGCAAACCAUAAGCUAAAUUAAUCGCAUCUUAGACAGUGUACGAUUGCUGAAUUGUGUCGAUGUCCAGGCCCUUCAUCCUCACCACUGAUUCGACAUGCCCCUUCAGGGUGCCGAACUCCCUCAGCCUGCAAAAAUGCCAUGUUUUUUGCCUCUUCAUCACACUUGUUAUGUUUUGAAAGCUUAAAUGAAUAGAAUAUAGAAAAUGUAGUACCUGGCAAUUUCUGCACGUCUUUUUGCCUCUUCAGCCAUCUGAUUAAGUUCUGUGUAAGAACUGCGUUCACCAAACUUUUUGCUGUCCGGCGGUUGCAGACCGUGGAGAGUCCUCUGCGCGUGUGCCCAUCUAAGCUCCCUUUCUUCCUUUCCGAAAUGCUUCUUUCUUGUGAAGGCAAUCUGCAAAGCAAAGAAUUGCAAAUUAAAAAUUAAACAGAAAGAGUAGUAAACUAGAGUGAUAAUGCUCCUAUCCUACAUACCCUCUGCUCAAAUACGAGAUCCCAGGCUCUCCCACUCAGUGCGUAUCGGAUGAUGAACUUGAGGAUAUCAAGUGGAAGAUAGAAGACGAGAUUAUAUAACCAAACCACACCAGCCCAACCCCACCCAAUUCCCUCUAUCGCCGCGAAACUCCAAUCGGCAUAGACAGCAAUGAGUGUAGCAAUCUGCUCAGGAUGGAGAUUUAGCAUUGAUGAACUGAUCUUUUCCCAAUAUAAUCAAAAUAUUCAAGUACCAAAAUAAUAGUACCAAAACUUUCACUCACCAGCUGAGCAAUAACAAAAGCUGCUACAAGUAAAAGACCAGGUCGCUCGAGAAUAGACCAACUACGUGCCCGGGUGACGAAUAUGAGAGCCUGACUGAUGGUACUCACUUGCAGGUACACUGCAGCAGCAAGCUUCCUAUAGCUGUCAUUAUCCUUUCUAUGAAGGCUUGGAACCCCAAAGUGACGCUGGAAAUGACAAAGGUAAGUGUUAGAGAGAAACCAAGUCUAGAAAACACCCAUAUAACAUAAUUAGCAAUAUCCACAUAGGAACAAGAAAAUCACACUUACAGGGAAGAAGUCUGUAUCGUAUGCUGCCCAAAAGAAAAUGACCGUCAUAACUGCUAAGUAAGUACCCAGGAUGAUACCGGUGGCAAAGAUCUCCGCUAGUUUCCAACUGUCUGGCAUAGGAGAGGGUUUCACUCUAUCCUUUGAAAUUGUCAUUAUAGUACCUGAAGAAAUGCCAUACAUAUGUUGGCAUUCAUGAAGUAUUUAGGAAAGGUACAUGCGUAAAUUCAUUGGAAACUCCAAGAAGUCAUAUGUAAAAGGUGAAUACAAACCAUCAUUGAGAAUAGCAAUGAUCAGAACCAUGAAGGGUGGAAAGUCGAAGUGCCAUAUGAGUGCCAGUAGCAUGAAACCAAGCUGUCAAAUACGAGAUUAAGUAAACUCAUGUCAAUGUUGAUUUUUCCAUUACACAAGGAGCAUAGCUUGCAAAGGUGCAAGAUAUCAACUAACCACAAUACGGAUUGUAAUGGAAACAGCAUAUAUCUGCAACAGAAACAGGUUAAGUUAAUUACUUGAUACGAGAUGGUAUUACCAGUCAAGUAUUGAUCGAUUUUGGCACAUUCUGAACCGAGGCUUACCGUGUAAUUUUUCAUUCUCUGGAAUAUUGCUCGACUAGUUAGUACAGCGCUUAUGAUGACACUAAGGCCAGGUUCUGUGAGUACAAUGUCAGAAGCACUUCGAGCUGCAUCAGUUGCAUCAGCAACAGCUAUGCCAAUAUCAGCUUUUUUAAGAGCAGGAGCAUCAUUAACUCCAUCACCAGUCAUCCCACAUAUAUGUCCUUUUGCUUGCAAACGCUUCACAAUCUCAUACUUGUGCUCUGAAGCAAUUUUUAUGUCAGCUUAGCUUAGUAAUAAACUAUCUAUCCCAGUUGAAGAUAACUGAAAACUAAAGAGGAGUGGAAAAGAGUACCAGGGAAAACUCCAGCAAACCCAUCAGCUUUUUCAAUAAGCUCAUCAACUGGCAAACCCGCAACUGAUUCGUCCUUUUUCUGUCCCAAAAGAGCUGAUGAAGGGUACAUGUUUGUUCCCAUACCGAGACGACGUCCUGUCUCCUUUGCUAUUGCAAGCUGAUCACCUGUAAUCAUCUUAACAUUCACACCAAGAUUCAAUGCCCUCUGAAUCGUCUCUGCACUGUCAUGUCGAGGAGGAUCAAACAAAGGCACCAGCGCAAUGAAUUGCCAAGGCCCUCCAAGGCUCUCCUUCCUUCCCUCUGGAACUUCCUGUUCAUAGUUAUAAAAGGAGGCAAAUAAAUAGCCAUAAAGAACAUAACAUACAAUAUAUACUAGACAUGACAAGAUAACUAACAUUACCUGGUAUGCUACUGCUAGGGAUCUUAAUCCUCGCUCUGCGUACUUAUCAAUCAUAACAUGAACUUUGCGUUCUAACUCUGAUUUAUUGUGCACAAGAUUCAAAAUCUAAUAAUCAAACCACAGGCAUGAAUUACUACAAUUAGCUGGGAAAUCAUCAAACCAGACUAUUUUAUAGUAGCUGAUCUUUUCAUACCUGUUCUGGUGCACCUUUGCUGACACGAUGCAUUUUACCUUCAAGGUCAAUAUAUGUAAGAGCUGUUCGCUUGUCAGUUGGGUUGAACGGAAGGAAGUGCACCUCUCGAAUGUUGGCUCUCGCCUAUUUGAUAGUCCAAAGAAGAAAUGAGUAGGCUUAGCACAUGAAAAAACAGAUACAGAAAGUCUAAUACUGGAGAAAGUUCCGGUAACAUUGUUGGUGAAAUUCCGGUAACAUUGUUGGUAUUCACCAACAAUGUGUGUCAUCAUACCUCCUUUGGAUCGGCCAACAUUCCCACAAUAGCAGCAUCUAUUGCAUCUUGAUUUUCAAUCCGGGAUGCUCGAGCUGCCAUUAGAACAACAGUAUCUACGUCCACCCCUUUAACAAAGACCUAAACAAAUAAAUUCAAGAAAGAAGUUGGAACAGGUAUUGCAAUACAGCUAUAUAAGAAAGCUAAGAACCUAACAAGUAACAACUACAACACCAACAAACCUCUAAAAGAGUCUUGUCAACUGUAAGCUUAUUCAAUGUCAGAGUCCCAGUUUUGUCACUGCAUAGAACAUCCAUGCCUGCCAUUUCUUCAAUUGCCGUCAUCCGUUUAGUGAUAGCACCCUGCAACAUUUAUAUUAGCUCUAAUUCUAACCUUCCUUGGCUUGACAAGCAAGUAGCAAAUUGAGAAGUUACUGCAACUAACCUGCUCCGCCAACCGGUGGGAACCAAUAGCCAUUGUCACAGAUAAAACUGUGGGCAUGGCAAUGGGAAUUCCUCCAAUAAGUAGCACAAGCAGGUUGUCAAUACCAGGGCGGUAACUACGAUGUUGUAUUGGGUACAUGACUAUGAUCUCUAUGAUCAUUCCCACAGCGAUGGAACAUAUACAGAAAUUCCCAAUUGCAGUCAAGACCUACAUAGCAUAUGGAAAACAAGAGAAACUGAAUCCGAUUCCCACUAUAUCAAACUCUUCAGUUAAAGUUUAUACUUUAGACUUGAGAGAAAAUAAAUCAUCCUAGUGCAAGCAUACCUGUUGAAAAUGACCCUGUUGAUUCGUGCUAUCGACAAGGUGCGCAGCCUUGCCGAAAAAGGUAUGAACACCAGUGGCAAUGACCACCGCUUCAAUCUCUCCUUGUUUGCAUGUAGAACCAGAAUACACACUGUCACCAGGGCUUUUGGUCACAGGAAGUGACUCACCUGUAAGUGAUGACUUCAAAGACCAAAUGCAAAGAAUUAGACUAAACAGCUCCAUUUAAUCAAAUAGUUUUGCGAAAGUGUGAUUGCUAAAGCACCUGAUCAAUUUUCAAUGGAUCACCAUCGAGGAGACGGGCAUCUGCUGGAAGAAUGUCUCCAAGUUUAAUGCUGAUUAUAUCACCAGGAACAAGAAUGGAAGCAUCCUCCUCGAUCCACUUCCCAUCUCGAAGAACCUAACCAACAUUACAAUCAGAUAAUGUGCUAAAACAGCCAUGACAUGCAUGUUCAUCAAGACUAUAAAGUAUAAAAGCUAUAUACAACUCUAAAUAGCUACAGGGAGAAGAUGAAAGCCAACACAACUACACAAGCAUAGAAUAUUGGGUUAGAAACCUUGGCUGUGGGAGCGAGACGAGCCAUGAGAGCAGCAGCAGCAUUUCCAGCGUUGUUCUCUUCAAUAAAACUUAUAGUUGAAUUGAUGACAAGCAGAGUAAUGAUCCCUACAAAAUCUUGCCAAUCUGGAGGCUUUCCCUACAGAAGCCAAACCAACCAAAUUCUGUUAUUAUUUCUUUCAUUACAACUUCGGCUAGCAAAGAAUAUAGAAACAGCCAAAGUAAUCACUAAAAAAGAAAUGAAAAAAAAAAAAAAAAAAAAAAAACCUUAAACUCCUCCAUUAGCUAGAGCAAUGGCCAUGAUAGCUGCAGCUUCCAUCACCCAUGAGAGAGGGUUCCACAUAAACCCUAAGAACUUCAAAACCUUACUUUCCUGUGGUAUAAAACCAACCAAAACCCCCAAAGGUUCAAAUAUUAACAAGUAGUCUAGGCCAAAUAAUUCAACAAGAAACAAAGUUUUCUUCUAGACAGCUCCAAGGAAUUAGGAAACAUAGAAAACAAAAAAGGCAGUACCUUCUUCUCCUCAAGCUUGUUGUACCCAAAAAGGGCCAGCCUCUGCUGAGCAGCCUCAGAUGUGAGUCCAUGUUCGUCACACCUCAAGGUUAGGAAUACCUCUUCAAUAGGUACGUGCUCCUGAAACCAAACCAGUCACUUCAGAAUUCAAUUAUGCAAAACCAACAAAACCUGAAAGAAAGAAAAAAAGGUGAUACUCUAUUUUGGUACCAAAUCCACAGCCUCCUUCACCACCACCUCUAACCCUUCGGCUUUCUCAUCCAUCUCGGACCCUCUGCAAAAGUGCUCAGUGGUACAAAAAUUACACAGAGAACCAGCUAGAGAGAAAAUAGAGCACUCAAGUCUCUCUCGGUUACUGAUGCAACUUUGUUUGUAGUUGGUUAGUCACUGAACAUUCAUAGCUUUUAAGCAAGCGGCAAGCGUUUAUCAAGUAUAGGGUACUUGGCGGCCACUGACUAGUGUGUUACAUUCUUCCAUUGUUGCAUAUAAUAACUUAUGGUUUUACAGGUGUUCGAUGUUGUGUAGAAGCUACUAGUCUUGUUUGACGAUGGAGAGCUUUUUUGGAUGCUUAAGAAAAGAAAUUCUUGUUCCGCAGCCUGGAGUUUACAUUUCUUCUUAUCUUUUUGUUACAGCACAGAGCGUAUACCGAUGUUGACGUGAUGCUAUUACUGUACUACCAUUCAUGAUAGAAAGAAUGGAAAACAUCCAGAUAUGGUUCCCAUGAAAUCUUGGAACUUGGUCAAGAUAAUAUUAUGUGGCUCAGUGUAUGAGUCACGCUCGUUUAUUGGGGAAUUCUUAACGUAUCCAACUUUCGUGUUGUAAAUUGCAUAUUUGGAUUAUCUGAGUCCAAUAAUAUCUUUUCUUGCACAAUUUGUUUUUGUAGUCCUAGCUAGUUGUGUUGUUAACUUGUUAUGUCAUUCUCAUCCAAUUACGACUUGCAAUGAGAGUUUCAGACCACUCAAAAAACAAGAGAAAUCCUCCACACGAGUCUUGACCUAUUGAAUACAAACAUUGUAGCUCAUCUCAAUCCAUGUCACUAGUUUGGUGACUGGUCUGAAACUCAACUUUGAGCACAUCUCUUUGCAAUUUGGUAGAAUCACAGACGUACACAAUAGCCAAAAAAAUACCAAAUGGGAAUGAAUAUGGUGUGACAUGUCUUUCAUCAGUCGUUAGUAAUGGUUAUGGUUUCACCAAUCACCCAUUGCUCUCCAAUUCUCUUCGUUAAGAAAACUACAUAUCACUAUGGGAAUGACUAUCCUUUACAUUCCAUGGUGGGAUUUUACACGAUUGACACAUUGCCUCCCUUGGGGAUGGAACUGGAAGCAUCUAAAGUAUAAGGUGAAUAAGAAGAGGGGAAAAUCAAGGAGAGCUUUUUCCACAUUCUUCCCGGCAAUGCAAUUGAGUCGUACUUUAUCUCCAUCUUUCUCCCAACCACGAAUAGACUUCUACCUCAUUCUAAAGCACUCCUCCACUCGAGUCUCACUUAUUAUAUUUAUUGCAUGGCAUCUCAAUCUUAUAUACA